UUUUUUAGUGUAGGAUUUUCCUUGCUCAAGCCUGCCUACUAGAAUCGCCAGUGCUUGAAAGGAAAAGUGAAUGAAAAACAUCGGAAUUGGAAAGUUUCCUAUGGUACUACUUUUCAUGAAUUUGGUGCAAAGGAAUGGAGCAAAGGAAAACUAUAGGAUUUGUUCCUUUAGUGUCUCCUUGAAAGAAAAACCGUAGGAAUUCUAAUUUUCACUUCUCCUCCUUUUCAUAUUCCUAUUCAUCAAGCACAAGACUAAGAGAUAGUAGCAUAAUAGCAUUAUAACCGUACAUUUUCUUGUGGUUUGACUUAAUCUCACCAUGCUUUUUUGCAUCCUGUGAUCUUCCAAUUGUUGUGAAUCAAACACCCAGAUUGGCAGAAAUCCUGUGUUUUUAAAUUCUCUGUUUUGCACGUGCAUUCCUAUCCUAUUCCUGUUUAUUUCCUAUCCCUGCAUUGUUAGAAUCCUCAAAUUCAAACAAGCCCUUACUCAAUUACUUAUGUUACAGAUAUGUGUCAAAGAAAACCUUGUGUGGUUUGUCCUGCUCCUGUGGCGCUGUGUUCCACCCCAGCUCAGCUGCUCCAACGACGGAAGGGUUCACCACAGCAGGGAUCCGCUCUCCAGAAUGUCUUUCGCCGCCUCAGAUCUUCUUCCCCGCCGCCGGCAGCCACGGCAACUGCAUUACCAUCAUCAUCUGAGCAGAUGACCUUGAGGACUACACGGGUCCGCAACAGAGGUCGCACUCUUCUGUGUCUGCUUACGUUAUGCAUCGCUUAAUAUGAUGACAUGCUACAUUAUCGUCGUGUUCACCUAUUAGACUCCGAGUCAGGUCCAAACUAAUGCUGAAACUUGAGUUUUUAAAUGGUUGUGGGGUACAUAUUGGGGCAGCAAUCAGUACUAUCUGUCUACUAUUUGGUUAAUCUCCGGUGUCUACUAUGAGUUUCAUGUUGGGUGCAAACAAACAUUAAAGGAGCCAUUAUAUGUAUUUUUUAACUAAAGCUAUUAUCUGCCUGCUAUCAUUGGUUUUGGGUCUAUCCACAGUUUGCUACCAUCACUCUGGAUUUGUGCAUGCACUCCUUACAUAAUCUCACUAUGUUUUAUUCCUAUGCAUGCCAGUUAUUGUACACAAUGGAACUGAUCAUGUAGAGCAAAAGAGACGAGCCUUGCGUGGCAAUAAAAUUUCAUGCAGACGUCGUUCCAUGGUGGGCGCAAAGGCAGCCCCCCCUCCACCCAUUUCGGAUCGUAAUCAAGAGGAAGAUAACUGUUCUGAGGGGGAUUCAGAAGGAGAAGACCGCUCCUAUUUACCCCAUGAGGUCUUCGCUCUAACUUGGCAUGCUGAUGUUGGUAAUAUCAUGCAUAUGGUGCCUUGCAUUGCUUACUGUAUACAUUAAAGAUGUCAUCUGCUUAGUUUAGACAUGCUUUGUGUCAAUGCCAUCUGUUUAGUUUCUUUAUCGUAUAUGUGAAUCAUGCAAUGCCAUCUUGUCUAGCCAGGCUGUUGGAAAUAUGCCCUAGAGGCAAUAAUAAAUGGUUAUUAUUAUAUUUCUUUGUUCAUGGUAAUUGUCUAUUAUUCAUGCUAUAAUUGUAUUGUCCGGAAAUCGUGAUACAUGUGUGAAUACAUAGACCACAACCUGUCCCUAGUAAGCCUCUAGUUGACUAGCUCGUUGAUCAACAGAUAGUCAUGGUUUCCUGACUAUGGACAUUGGAUGUCAUUGAUAACGGGAUCACAUCAUUAGGAGAAUGAUGUGAUGGACAAGACCCAAUCCUAAGCAUAGCAUAAAAGAUCGUGUAGUUUCGUUUGCUAGAGCUUUUCCAAUGUCAAGUAUCUUUUCCUUGGACCAUGAGAUCGUGCAACUCCCGGAUACCGUAGGAGUGCUUUGGGUGUGCCAAACGUCACAACGUAACUGGGUGACUAUAAAGGUGCACUACGGGUAUCUCCGAAAGUGUCUGUUGGGUUGGCACGGAUCGAGACUGGGAUUUGUCACUCCGUGUGACGGAGAGGUAUCUCUGGGCCCACUCGGUAAUGCAUCAUCAUAAUGAGCUCAAUGUGACUAAGGCGUUAGUCACGGGAUCAUGCAUUGCGGUACGAGUAAAGAGAGUUGCCGGUAACGAGAUUGAACAAGGUAUUGGGAUACCGACGAUCGAAUCUCGGGCAAGUAACAUACCGAUUGACAAAGGGAAUUGCAUACGGAUUGAUUGAAUCCUCGACACCGUGGUUCAUCCGAUGAUAUCAUCGUGGAACAUGUGGGAGCCAACAUGGGUAUCCAGAUCCCGCUGUUGGUUAUUGACCGGAGAGGCGUCUCGGUCAUGUCUGCAUGUCUCCCGAACCCAUAGGGUCUACACACUUAAGGUCCGGUGACGCUAGGGUUGUAGAGAUAUAUGUAUGCGGAAACCCGAAAGUUGUUCGGAGUCCCGGAUGAGAUCCCGGACGUCACGAGAGGUUCCGGAAUGGUCCGGAGGUAAAGAUUUAUAUAUGGGAAGUCUUAUUUUGGUCGCCGGAAAAGUUUCGCGCUUUAUCGGUAUUGUACCGGGAGUGCCGAAAGGGGUCCGGGGGUCCACCAAGGGGGGCACCAGCCCCAAGAGGCCCAUGCGCAAGAGAUAAGAAAGAAGGGAGAGUCCUAAAAGGGGAAGGCACCUCCGAGGUGCCUUGGGGGGGAAGGACUCCCCCCUGGCCGCACCCUUCCUUGAAGGAAGGGGCAAGGCUGCGCCCCCCCCCCCUCUCCCUUGGCCCUAUAUAUAGUGGGGGGAAGGGAGGGCAGCACUAUCUAAGCCUUGGGCGCCUCCCUCCUCCCCUGCAACACCUCUCUCUCUCUCGCAGAAGCUCGGCGAAGCCCUGCCGGAGACCCGCUACAUCCACCACCACGCCGUCGUGCUGUUGGAUCUCCAUCAACCUCUCCUUCCCCCUUGCUGGAUCAAGAAGGAGGAGACGUCGCUGCACCGUACGUGUGUUGAACGCGGAGGUGCCGUCCGUUCGGCACUCGGUCAUCGGUGAUUUGGAUCACGGCGAGUACGACUCCGUCAUCCACGUUCAUUGGAACGCUUCCGCUCGCGAUCUACAAGGGUAUGUAGAUCCACUCCUUUCCCCUCGUUGCUAGUAGACUCCAUAGAUGCAUCUUGGUGAGCGUAGGAAAAUUUUAAAUUAUGCUACGAUUCCCAACACAGGCAUCAUAUAUGUGAAUUUUGCAAUGCCACCCUGGUUAGCCAGUCAUCUUAUAUGUGAAUGAUAUCAUGCCAUCAUUUUUUUAUUACGUGUUAAAUUUGUCAAAAAAUUUAGUACAUUCAAUUACUCUUCCUGUGCAUCAGCCAUUCGGCACGGUCAUGGAAAAAUAUGGAGUGGAAACAAGGUCUUCAGAGCAGACAAUGUUAUCUGACGAAGCGCAUGUCUUGCUGGUUACCGAUAGCUCCUCAGAGGAGGAUUCAGAGACAGAUGACCAGUCAUAUUCCCCCCCCCCCCCAAGGUGCAUGCCCUAACUUGGCAGGGUUAUGUUGCUCAUAUCGUGCGUAUGGUAUCUUGCAUUGCUAUGUCAUUUGCUUAGUUUAGACAUGCUUUGUGUGAAUGCCACCUGCUUAGUGUCUAAUUACCAUAUAUGUGAAUUAUGCAAUGCCAUCUUGUUGCAAGACAUUAUAUAUGUGAAUUAUGCAAUGUUAUCUUGUUGCAAGGCAUUAUGUAUGUGAAUUAUGCAAUGCCAUGCUGUUUAGGCAAGCGUCAUAUAUGUGAAUUAUAUCAUGCCAUCCUUUUUUUGUAUUUCUCAUUGCUUUUGUCGACAAUGUUUGUAUAUUCAACUGCUCUUCCUGUGCAUCAGCCAUUUGAAUUGGUGAUGGAGAAAUCUGGAGUGAAAACAAGGUCUUCAGAGCAGACAAUGCUACCUGCUGAAGCAGAUAUCUUGCUGGUUACAGUGUAACAUCCCAAAAUUCUAAAUUUUGGAAUGUUAUAUUAAAUAAAUAUUUAUUCUUGUUUGUUUGAUUGUGGUGUGGUUGCUUGAGUGAAAUUGAGUGAAAUUUGAUUUUUUUUCUUUUAAAGUUGAAUCAGAGGGAAUGAAAUGACUUUCCGAAAACUUUCACUUUGCAUUUUGAUCCCCAUGGAUUCAAAUUCAUUUCAUCACAAAACCCUAGAGUGAAGAUGAUAUGACUUCUUCCAUUUAAAUAAAUGAAAAGCGUUUUGAAAAGAUUUGAAUUCCAUCCGAAAAUAUUUCAAAUUCGAAACUUUAUGCAACUCAAUGAUUUUCAUGAGAGAAGAUAAAAUGACUUCUUCAAUUAUAUGAAAUAUGAGUUGGAAGUUACAAAGAAUCCAAUUUAAAGUCAUUUGGAAGUAUUUUGAAACUCCCUUCCAAUUUGGAAUUAUUUGGAUUUUUAUUUAAAUUAUUAUUUUUCUCUCCUAAAAACAAAUAAAUGGAAAUAAGGGUAAAAUGAUUCCCUUCAAUGGAAGAUUAGGAGAAAAUAAAUUUGAAAUCAUUUUGGUAUUUUAAAAAAUGAUUUUUGUUGGGUUUUAAUGCAACAGUAGCACUACUUGCUUUAUUUCAAUUUUUGUAGAUUUUAUUUGCCUCUGAAACUGUGUUCAUGUUUUAGAAAAAAAAUCUGAAACUUUCGAUAUAUAAUAUGCCUAUAUAAUAGUUUUUUUAUUGCUCUUUAUUUCAGUUUUCCUUUUCUAUGUUAAAAAAAUCUGGCCGAAGCCCAGCCGCACCAGGCCCAGCCUCCUCCACAACCCAACAUGGUCAUCUUCCUCCUACUAACCUUCAGAAGCAGAACGCAUGCACGCACCCCACGUCGCGCCCCACCCCCUUCCCUCCUUCCCCUUCACCAAGAAUCCUCUGAAUGGAUCCACCUCCUUCCCCUACACCUCCUUCCCCUACACCUCCUUCUCCAAGUAAAAGGCCAUUAAUGCCCCAGAUUUUCUCGCCGGAGAUCCGCACUUGCCUUUUUUUUUGCUUGCCAUGGCUGCACGCAUUUGGACACCCCCUAGCCCUAUAAAUACCUCCCUCGUGUUGCGCUCUUUUCCCUCGCCCAAAGCCCUCUCCUAUGGGAGCUUAUUCCCCUCCCUAUCCCGCAUAAUUACUCAUCGGAGUUCAUAAACUCCGGCGGCUUCUCCAUCGCCGCUCGAGGCUCGGUUGGUACUUCCUCGGCCUCCCCUGAGGUUGCUGAGAUCUCCUUUGCACCGUUCCGUUCUCUCCUUCCUCUAGGAGCCCCACAACCUCGGAUCCAAUCUUCUUCCCCAACUCCGGUGAGAUCAAAGAAAUCCCGUAAUUCUUCUUUUCAGAAAAGUAGCGAUUUUAGAAAAUUCAUAUCUAUUAGUAUACAUAUCCAAAUUGAGUGAUUCCAAUUGCGUUAGAUCACAAAUUUUGUAAAGUUUCUGAAUAGGUAAAUAGUUUUUAGGUUUGACUAGUUAAAUUUGAACUUGAUAAAAUUCUCUUAAAUCCUUGUAUUUGAUCUAACUUGAGUUUAGAAAUAGAUUUUUGAUUGAUUCUUUUUGCUACUGCUUUGUUAUUGUUUUGUUUAUCCAGUAGCAUAUAGUUAUUUAUUUUUAGUUUAUUUUAAGUUAGGUUUGUUGCACAAACAGUACUGUUUUGCUUAUGUAGUUGUUUUAGUCAUAUAAUUAGUGUUUUAAUUAUUUUUAGUUAAUUCUUUUUGUAGAUUUUUACAUGUUGUCAUAUGUUUCUGUUAGACUAUAGUAGAUAAAUUUUUGUAGUUAUUUAUUAGUGUUUAGCUACUGUUUUAGUAUUUGUUUGUUUAGUUCAUAGUGAUAGUUGAUAAAAAUAGUUUUAUUAGUUUUAAUGCAUCUCUUUUUGCCACUUCAAUAUAUGUUGUUAUUGGUUCUGUUAUUAGGAGUAAAUAAGUUUUCAUAAAUUAUUUUAGUAUUGUUUACUAUUGUCUUAGUGUUUUCUAGUUGUUAUAGUUGUUCUAGUGUUAACUAGAUAGUUAUAAUAGUUUUUAUUAUACUAGUUCUUUUUGCUAGUAAAUGCUUUAGUAAAUUGUUUUCUGUUGUUUCAUUAGAAUUAUAUUUUCUUUGUCGUAGAAAAAAUUAUUAGAGUAAUUUGGUGUUGCUACGAGAGUAUUGUCUGUUAUUGUGUGAGUUGGUUUCUCCCUUGUUUUCGUGAAGUUUUCUUUGUAAUUCUAUUUGGUUUUCUUUGACUUCAUUAUUGUUUUAUUUAUGACUUUUUGAUUGUUAUUUUGAUUGCUAGUAUUGUUUGCUAGAAUUAUUGCUUAUGUGAGUAUAAUGUUUGACUAUAUAGAUUUUCUCGGAGUGACGAAUAGUUUAUCAAAGAUUCUGAGAGCGUUACUAUCUUCAUCAAGUAAUACCAGACAAGUUCACCUUGACCAUGUUUUUCAUACCUAUGUCUUAUUUGCAUGUAGUAGCACCCUUUCAACAAUCCCUCCAGUAGUGUUAUUGAACCUUUAGUUGAGUAGAUUGCAUGAGUUAGAAACCCAUCUCCCUGUUAUCAAGCCCGGGACGUUAUGUAGUUUAAAUGCUAUGCUAUAGUGGACGGGGUUGGUAUGAAUGAUCGGGAGUGGUGUGAGAAUGGAGGACUCUACGUCAAUGAAAACAAAUUCAUGAUGGCAUCGGCAAGGACUGCAUCUUCAGGACUUCAAGACUUCAAGAUUUCGAGACUCGAGACAAGAAUUCAAUACACACUACUGGGUGAAGGACGGUUGACGGGCACCCUGGAGGAACCAGUGGAUGGACGGGAUGCAUGGAGAAGCGCCAUGACAUCUUGCGGAAAGCUUCACCCAGACUCAAAGAGACGGAAGAAUACUUCAUGCGCGGAAGCUUACCUGUGCAACCGCAAGUCACUAUGGGCUCUGGCUUGGUUGACCCUAUUGGUGACUCUGGCUGGGACGGUGCUAGCAGAUGUAGAACUACGGUAGGAUUGGAUGAGCACCGGAAAGUGGUCAGGGGAACUCUUCGGAAGACCAUGUUUCGGUCAUCUUGUUCUCAAACAACCUGAUGUGCGAGAACGUAAAAAGAGGGAUCGAAUCUUGAGGGUAAAGUGUACAAACCUAUGCAGAGGGUUAAAACCUAAUCAAUUAGCCGUUUCCUCGGUUACGGACAACUUGAGCCUCUGGACUUGGAUCUAUCUCGGAACUCUCAACACCGGACUGAUAACAUAAUUGUGGGCAACUUAUGAUGAUUUGGGUAUGAGACAUCGGUUGGCGGAACCAUGUCAUGAUAGAAAACUCCGUAGUACAGACUCCUGAUAUUCCUUUGUUGUAGAGAAAAUAAAACUAGCUUUUACGCGAAAACAUCAGACACAGAGCCACAAAGCCAUAUUGCAUAUAGAAUCGUAUUAUCAUCUGCUUUCUCAUGUUGUGAUCUUGCCGGUACAUUCAAUGUACUGACCUACACAGCCACAACGUCUCAUGUUGCAGAUAUGUUCCUUUCGACGAGUAAGAGUACGGUACAGGGUUACGGUAUACACUCAACCUGCCGAUGGCGUUGAUGGGACUCCACACCCGAUUGUUUGUUUCCGCUGAGACUUAUGAGGUAUAUACCAGUUUUACAUUAUUUAUACAUGUGAUUGCACUUUGAUAUAUACAUUGAUGUACUGUGUGUGCCAGCAUACCGAUCCAGGGAUGGCACAGAUACACAGAGGCUUGACCGCCUGAGGUCGGGUCGCUACAGAUAUGGUAUCAGAGCACAUGUUGACUGUAGAACAUGACCCUAGAAACUGGAAAUUCCUAGGACAGGAAGUCUCUAAAACUUUAUUUUCAAAAAUACCCUUACUUCUAAUAUUUUCAUGAUUUUAUCAAAUAGUCCCUCUUAUCUCAAAUAGUUAAAAUAUACCCUUUUCCCUUUUGACCACACGGAGGAUCAACUGAAGCCGCUCCAAGAAGGACAAGAUAUCGGACAAUCGAUGACCUCUUCAGAGUAAAGAGGAUUUCACCAUGCAUUAGAAGAGUUGAAGCUACAACAGUUGAAGACUCCGAAGACUUGAAGAAUCUGAAGAAUUAUUUGACCUUUAGAAGACCAAACCCCUGUUAUAUACUUACGUUCAAUGCGACGAUUUGUGAGCUGUCAUUUGUGUGAUGUUUUUCGACAGCCACAAAUAAAUCCCGUUUUCACAAUUAUUGUUUGUAUUGUGUGUAUCUCUCUCUAUCUCCCGUAUCUCAUCCCAAAACCCUUGGAACCAAUAGAUGAUGAAUGAAGAAGGACUGGUAUUCUCUGGACCGAUGACUCAACCAGAGGUAGAACUAUGGAUUCAGAAUAUGGAGGAUCACUUCAGGAACAACUUGAUUGGAAGCAAGUAUGAGGUUCAAUGCUCUUCGGUACUUUACAAAAAGUGUUGCAACCUGGUGGAAAAUGCAUCAAGCCAUACAAGGAUGCAACGGAGCAAGAACUUGGGAGGAAUUCAAAAAGACUCUGAUGAGAUCACGUCUCAUCCAGAAGCACCGUCAUAACCCGAUGAAGCAAACUUGUGCAUGCAAGAUAUGUGGAGAAAUAGGACACACCCAGGAGGAACACAAGGAUGUAUGCCCUCAUUGUGAGGAGAAUCACCCAGCCGAAGAGUGCCCGACUGGGCAAGUUACUUGUUUUCUGUGUGAAGGGACUACACACUACCCUGGUCAGUGUCACAUUUACCCCAAGGUACAAGAAAUUACCAAGCAGCAGAAAGAAGCCAUGAAAAAAAACUCAGGGAAAAUUCAGAAGAAUCUGCGAUGAAGGAAGUUAUUGAAGACCCUGAUGGUGAAGGCCUAAACAGGUUUUUCGCCCAAGCCUGCUAUUCUUGUGGAGAAGAAGGACAUUUUUCAAACUAUUGCAUGAAGGAAAGCCAAGAGUAUCUCAGAGACUUCCCGACAGCAGAAGUGAAGUUUGACCCUCAGGAAAUAGAAGCUCCGAUCAUUACAGAGAAAUUCAGGAAGAGAAAACGAAGGCAUUCCCAGAACAACCCAAGUUCUGCAGAGAAGGACCUGAGUCAUAUCACUUGUUACAGGUGCAAGGAUUUAGGUCAUUAUGCUAGUAAAUGUCCAGAAAAGAAGCCUAGAAUCCAAGGAGCCUACAUAAUCACAAAGAAGCCCCGAGACAUCUCAGAAGUCAUUUGCUUUUGCUGCAAGGAAGCGGGACAUUUUGCUCGGGAAUGUUCAGAUCAGAAGAAAGCUGGAGCUGAGUAGUUGAGAUUUGGAUAUGGAUAAUAAGAGUGCUAGAAAGCAUUUUUUCAUGAGUACAAUAAGUUGAGUUAUGUAAUGGGUUCUCAGAGUUUGUAAUGGAUUCAUGAAAUCAAUAAAGUUAAGGUGACAUGUUUUCAUAUGUUGAAUUGUAUGAGUUGUUACUCUAUGAACGCAGAUUUGGACCAUUUUCGAGGAUAUGAGAAAUAUGGUAUAUGGAUGAAAUUGUGCAUUUUAUUUUAAGGGUGGUAGUACCCGGUGAGGACACUUGACCCAUGGAAAGGAUAAUGAUAUUUCACGGAGUGGAGUUUGGACCAAAUAAACUGGAAUUUUGUUUUGAUAUGAAGGGUACCCCAAGAGUACGAAGGAAUGUAGUAAUAUUGGAUUUAAAGGGGGUAUAGUGUUGGAAUAUGGAACCAUAUAACCCAAAAGGAUGAGUUAAAGCUAUGCAAGUAUUGCAGUGGGUCCAUAACCCACAAGCCCAGGAUUUGUAAGUGAACAGACGUAACCUUGAUGAAGGAAGAAAAUUUGGAAGAAGUUGUGCUUUCAUCGGCAGACGUUCCUUAGGAGGAUACGGAAACCCGAGAGUGGUGAAGUAACGAUAGAUGUUUUAUUCAGCUUGCAGAAUCAAUGGAAUUAUCCGAACUAAGUUCGUCGACAAGAGAAAUUCUGCAAUGCUUGUGAGAAUUCCCGAGUGUUAGAAAUGCGAGAUUCGCUAAACCUUAUACAGAGUAAUGAUUUGGGUGCGGAAUGGAUUGAUCACCAUACCGACUUACUCUCGUCAUUCGCUCUUGCUAUUCGGGAUGGCAAAUCUAGAGCGACUUACCCUUGGUAGAGUGACGACGACGUCAAAACCUUCUUUAAACCAUAGAAUGGUAGGACGAUUGAUCCAUGUACAGGCAACCGCUGCCAAACGUAGGUUAUACGGUGAGAUUCAGCCCAGACCCAUUUCCUGCAGGACAAACCAUAAAUUAUUGACCACCAGGAGGUUUCGAUAGUUGUUUAGUAUUGGCGAUAGACCUGUCAGAUAUGAAGACCCAGUCUCGGAAGAACCUCGCGAGGAUGAAAGGACACGUGUUUGAGGAAAAGGUUAUGCACCUACCUGAAGAGCAUCAGUGAAGAAGGUAUUCCAGAGGAUAUGAGAAGACCGACACCGUCAACCCAAAGGAAGGGAGUACAUGAGUCUUGGUCGGGACCAUAACCCUAAUUUUAAGUGUGGUAGCACACUAGAAUUUUUCGAUCAAUGGAUUUGCUGGAUGACCUCCAAACCCUAACCUUUUCUUGCUAGCCUCUGCGAAUCUCGAGGAUGAGAUUCAUUUCAAGUGUGGUAGGUUUGUAACAUCCCAAAAUUCUAAAUUUUGGAAUGUUAUAUUAAAUAAAUAUUUAUGCUUGUUUGUUUAAUUGUGGUGUGGUUGCUUGAGUGAAAUUGAGUGAAAUUUGAUAUAUAUUUUUUUGAAAGUUGAAUCAGAGGGAAUGAAAUGACUUUCCGAAAACUUUCACUUUGCAUUUUGAUCCCCAUCAAUUCAAAUUCAUUUCAUCACAAAACCCUAGAGUGAAGAUGAUAUGGCUUCUUCCAUUUAAAUAAAUGAAAAGCGUUUUGAAAAGAUUUGAAUUCCAUCCGAAAAUAUUUCAAAUUCGAAACUUUAUGCAACUCAAUGAUUUUCAUGAGAGAAGAUAAAAUGACUUCUUCAAUUAUAUGAAAUAUGAGGUGGAAUUUGCAAAGAAUCCAAUUUAAAGUCAUUUGGAAGUAUUUUGAAACUCCCUUCCAAUUUGGAAUUAUUUGGAUUUUUAUUUAAAUUAUUAUUUUUCUCUCCUAAAAACAAAUAAAUGGAAAUAAGGGUAAAAUGAUUCCCUUCAAUGGAAGAUUAGGAGAAAAUAAAUUUGAAAUCAUUUUGGUAUUUUAAAAAAUGAUUUUUGUUGGGUUUUAAUGCAACAGUAGCACUAUUUGCUUUAUUUGAAUUUUUGUAGAUUUUAUUUGCCUCUGAAACUGUGUUCAUGUUUUAGAAAAAAAAUCUGAAACUUUCGAUAUAUAAUAUGCCUAUCUAAUAGUUUUUUUAUUGCUCUUUAUUUCAGUUUUCCUUGUCUAUGUUAAAAAAAAUCUGGCCGAAGCCCAGCCGCACCAGGCCCAGCCUCCUCCACAACCCAACAUGGUCAUCUUCCUCCUACUAACCUUCAGAAGCAGAACGCAUGCACGCACCCCAUGUCGCGCCCCACCCCCUUCCCUCCUUCCCCUUCACCAAGAAUCCUCUGAAUGGAUCCACCUCCUUCCCCUACACCUCCUUCUCCAAGUAAAAGGCCAUUAAUGCCCCAGAUUUUCUCGCCGGAGAUCCGCACUUGCCUUUUUUUUUUGCUCGUCAUGGCUGCACGCAUUUGGACACCCCCUCGCCCUAUAAAUACCUCCCUCGUGUUGCCCUCUUUUCCAUCGCCCAAAGCCCUCUCCUAUGGGAGCUUAUCCCCCUCCCUAUCCCGCAUAAUUACUCAUCGGAGUUCAUAAACUCCGGCGGCUUCUCCAUCGCCGCCCGAGGCUCGGUUGGUACUUCCUCGGCCUCCCUUGACGUUGCUGAGAUCUCCUUUGCACCGUUCCGUUCUCUCCUUCCUCUAGGAGCCCCCACAACCUCGGAUCCGAUCUUCUUCCCCAACUCCGGCGACUACUCCGGUGAGAUCAAAGAAAUCCCGUAAUUCUUCUUUUCAGAAAAGUAGCGAUCUUAGAAAAUUCAUAUCUAUUAGUAUACAUAUCCAAAUUGAGUGAUUCCAAUUGCGUUAGAUCACAAAUUUUGUAAAGUUUCUGAAUAGGUAAAUAGUUUUUAGGUUUGACUAUUUAAAUUUGAACUUGAUCAAAUUCUCUUAAAUCCUUGUAUUUGAUCUAACUUGAGUUUAGAAAUAGAUUUUUGAUUGAUUCUUUUUGCUACUGCUUUGUUAUUGUUUUGUUUAUCCAGUAGCAUAUAGUUAUUUAUUUUUAGUUUAUUUUAAGUUAGGUUUGUUGCAAAAACAGUACUGUUUUGCUUAUGUAGUUGUUUUAGUCAUAUAAUUAGUGUUUUUAAUUAUUUUUAGUUAAUUCUUUUUGUAGAUUUUUACAUGUUGUCAUAUGUUUCUGUUAGACUACAGUAGAUAAAUUUUUGUAGUUAUUUAUUAGUGUUUAGCUACUGUUUUAGUAUUUGUUUGUUUAGUUCAUAGUGAUAGUUGAUAAAAAUUGUUUUAUUAGUUUUAAUGCAUCUCUUUUUGCCGCUUUAAUAUAUGUUGUUAUUGGUUCUGUUAUUAGGAGUAAAUAAGUUUUCAUAAAUUAUUUUAGUAUUGUUUACUAUUGUCUUAGUGUUUUCUAGUUGUUAUAGUUGUUCUAGUGUUAACUAGAUAGUUAUAAUAGUUUUUAUUAUACUAGUUCUUUUUGCUAGUAAAUGCUUUAGUAAAUUGUUUUCUGUUGUUUCAUUAGAAUUAUAUUUUCUUUGUUGUAGAAAAAAUUAUUAGAGUAAUUUGGUGUUGCUAUGAGAGUAUUGUCUGUUAUUGUGUGAGUUGGUUUCUCCCUUGUUUUCGUGAAGUUUUCUUUGUAAUUCUAUUUGGUUUUCUUUGACUUCAUUAUUGUUUUAUUUAUGACUUUUUGAUUGUUAUUUUGAUUGCUAGUAUUGUUUGCUAGAAUUAUUGCUUAUGUGAGUAUAAUGUUUGACUAUAUAGAUUUUCUCGGAGUGACGAAUAGUUUAUCAAAGAUUCUGAGAGCGUUAUUAUCUUCAUCAAGUAAUACCAGGCAAGUUCACCUUGACCAUGUUUUUCAUACCUAUGCCUUAUUUGCAUGUAGUAGCACCCUUUCAACAAUCCCUCCAGUAGUGUUAUUGAACCUUUAGUUGAGUAGAUUGCAUGAGGUAGAAACCCAUCUCCCUGUUAUCAAGCCCAGGGCGUUAUGUAGUUUAAAUGCUACGCUAUAGUGGACGGGGUUGGUAUGAAUGAUCGGGAGUGGUGUGAGAAUGGAGGACUCUACGUCAAUAAAGACAAAUUCAUGAUGGCAUCGGCAAGGACUGCAUCUUCAGGACUUCAAGACUUCAAGAUUUCGAGACUCGAGACAAGAAUUCAAUACACACUACUGGGUGAAGGACGGUUGACGGGCACCCUGGAGGAACCAGUGGAUGGCCGGGAUGCAUGGAGAAGCGCCAUGACAUCUUGCGGAAAGCUUCACCCAGACUCAAAGAGACGGAAGAAUACUUCAUGCCCGGAAGCUUACCUGUGCAACCGCAAGUCACUAUGGGCUCUGGCUUGGUUGACCCUAGUGGUGACUCUGGCUGGGACGGUGCUAGCAGAUGUAGAACUACGGUAGGAUUGGAUGAGCACCGGACAGUGGUCAGGGGAACUCUUCGGAAGACCAUGUUUCGGUCGUCUUGUUCUCAAACAACCUGAAGUGCGAGAACGUAAAAAGAGGGAUCGAAUCUUUUGGGUAAAGUGUAAAAACCUCUGCAGAGGGUUAAAACCUAAUCGAUUAGCCAUGUCCUCGGUUACGGACAACUUGAGCCUCUGGACUUGGAUCUAUCUCGGAACUCUCAACACCGGACUGAUAACAUAAUUGUGGGCAACUUAUGAUGAUUUGGGUAUGAGACAUCGGUUGGCGGAACCAUGUCAUGAUAGAAAUCUCCGUAGUACAGACUCCUGAUAUUCCUUUGUUGUAGAGAAAAUAAAACCAGCUUUUACGCAAAAACAUCAGACACAGAGCCACAAAGCCAUAUUGCAUAUAGAAUCGUAUUAUCAUCUGCUUUCUCAUGUUGUGAUCUUGCCGGUACAUUCAAUGUACUGACCUACACGGCUGCAACGUCUCAUGUUGCAGAUAUGUUCCUUCCGACGAGUAAGUGUACGGUACAGGGUUACGGUAUAUACUCAACCUGCCGAUGGUGUUUAUGGGACUCCACACCCGAUUGUUUGUUUCCGCUGAGACUUAUGAGGUAUAUACUAGUUUUACGUUAUUUAUACAUGUGAUUGCACUUUAAUAUAUACAUUGAUGUACUGUGUGUGUCAACAUACCGAUCCAGGGAUGGCACAGAUAUACAGAGGCUUGACCGUCUGAGGUCGGGUCGCUACAUACAGAUAGCUCUUCAGAGAAGGAUUCAGAGGCAGAUGACCAGUGCUAUUAUCCCCCGGAGGUGUAUGCUCAAACUUGGCAGGGUUAUAUUACUCAUAUAAUGCAUAUGUUGUAUUGCAAUGCUUAGUUUUUACAUCAUAUACACAAUAUUGAAUGCCAUCUCCUUAGUUGACACAUCAUAUAUGCGAUUGCCCUCUGCUCACUUCCUUAGUAUAUAAAUCAUAUAUUUGAAUUAUGUCAUGCCAUGAUGUUUACAUAGACAGCAUGUAUCUGAAUUAUGGCAUGCCAACCCAUUUUCUGAAGACAUAAUAUAGUUGUAUCACCUCAUCCUGUUCACAUAGUCAUCAUAUUUUGAAUUAUGUCAUUCUAUCCGUGAAUUAUAUCAUGCCAUCAUGUUUCCAUCGACGGCAUGUUUGUGAUUUAUGGCAUGCCAACCACUUUAAUAGACACAUCGUAUAGUUAUAUCAUGUCAUCCUGUUUACAUAGUCAUCAUAUUUUGAAGUAUGUCAUUCUAUCCUGUUUAGUUAGCCAUCAUACAUGUGAAAUUGUGUCAUGCUAUCCUGUUUAAUUAGCCAUCAUAUAUGUGAAAUUAUGUCCUGCUAUUCUGUUUGCUUAGACAACAUAAAUGUGAAUUAUUUCAUGCCCUGUUUUCUUCCCUACUAUCCAUUGCACCUGUCUAUCUUACAAUGUCCGUACAUUCAAUUACUUUUCUUGUUUAUCAGCCAUUUCAAUUAGAGGGAGUGAUGGCAGUAUCUGUGGGAGUAAAAACAUGGUCUUCAGAAAAGAUCGUGCUACCUGUCGAUGGAGAUAGAACAACGGUUGUACUUGCCCAAGAACCAGCCCCACCACACAUAACCCAGACUCACGCAGAUUAUACCCCUACCCAGUUGGACAAAGAACCAGCUACACCCCUUCUAACCCCAACCCCAGCAGAUAGUAACCCAGUUCCCGUUGACACAACACCGUCUCCACCACAGAGCACCCAAACACGAGCAGUUAGUAAGGCAACUGCAGUGCCCAAAGCACGAGGACCACCACUCCGAACCCCAAGUCAAUGCUUAAAGCAGAAGAAGAAUUGUUCUCAGGUCAGGUUCCGUAGCUAUGGUUCAUACUACUUUUCUCUUGCAUCACUGUAUUUACUGAUACCAACUAAUUUCAAAUUUGAAGGAUGCAAUUGAAACUCCAAUGGCGCAACAGGUAUGUUUUAAACCUGUUUCUUCAACGUGUUUGGCUGUUUGCUGUUGUAACUUGCUCUAUGUUGAUUUCAGUUUCAAUUGAAUAAACAGUUAUGUUCUCAUGCCAUGCACAUUACAAGUGUUGUUAUUGCUGUGUAGUUUCCCACACUUAUAUUCUGUCUAUGCUGCUUUGUCUUAAAUAGAUAUGAUUCGAACUGUAUCUAUCUUGAUUUGGCAACAUAAACUAGAAUGAUAUAGACCAUACAGUGACCAUACUACAUAGAUAUAUGUUUGUUUCAUGUUGUUAUCCUGUCCACCUUACUACUGAACUAGUUUACCAAAAUGAGUUUCAUAUACUACAUUGUAAACCUGAGAUGUGUUUGUUUGUUUCUCUUUUAGAACGCGGAUAAAAUAUUGGAGAAGAGUACCCUGUUAUGCAAUGGUAAAGGAAGUAAUGCAGAUAAGGUUCAAGAUAGGGAGACAUUCCUGUUGGUCUCCAAGAAAGCUGAUAAAAACUAUAUUGAAGACAUUGAGACAACCCCAAAGUCCUGUCUUGAUGUAGUGUUUGAGUUACUGGCUACCACUGCUGGCACCAGCUCUUCGAACUCGUUGCAUGAACCAGUUCGGCUUCUUGAGUCUCAACUUCAAGUUGAAAGACAUCGAUCAGAUGUUAUGCGACAGGAAGCCGAAGGACUGAGGAAGUCCCUGUAGAAUUCAGAUGCAUACUUUCUGGUGCAACAGCAAGCGCUGGAGGACUUAAGCGCCAAACAAGAGAAAGUUAAUAAGCUUGCUAAGCAUCUUGCCAGCAUUAUGGGUACCCAGGAUAUUGUUUCUUGAGCUCUUCUGAAGUGGUUUCAGUUCUGGACUUGUUUUGCUGCGGCGUUUAUAUGCUGCUGUGUUCCCUAUAUUUGCACUGGUGGCGAACUUUGAUGCCCAGUGGAUGUAAUAUGUGUAAUAGCCGUGAUAGCCUAGUGUAAGUUGCUUGCUUAUUUAUUUCCUUGUUGUCUUGUUUAUUUGUUUGCUUGUAGUCAGUGCAGUUCUUUUUCUGCGGUUUGCUAGUGGCUGCAAUAACCUAUUUUUUAAAACUAGGCCACAAUAACCAUGGGCUAAUAUUUACUGUAGUGACAUUGGGCCUCCUACGGGCCGUAGAAACAGUGGGCCUUCUACGGGCCGUAGAAACAGUGGGCCUUCUACGGGCCGUAGAAACAGUGGGCCUUCUGCGGGCCGUAGAAAUAGUGGGCCUUCUACGGGCCAUAUCAUCAAUGGGCCUUAUACGGGCCGUAUGAUCGAUUGGCCAAACAGACCGCAUUCUGGCCGUAAACGGGCUAGAGUUGGAAUCGUCCGUUCAUGGGCCGACCAUAACGGGCCAUCGUUAAUAGGCCGUAUUUGAUGACGCUAUGAAAACGGCCCAACGUAUUAACGGACCACAAACGGGCCGACAGUAACCACGGGCUGAAUUUGGCCCACAAGCAGAAAAUGACAGUAACGGGCCGUAAGUAAAUGAAUGCUGGAAAAUAGCCCAAGAAUAAAUGGGCUCUGAGAAGGCCGAAAGAUAACAUUGGCUGGAAACGGCCCAACGGAAUAACGGGCCGUUAAUGGGUAUAAAGUGAUACAUUGUUCUUUGCGGGCCAGUUUCACCACGGGCCGUUAAUGGGUGUAAAGUGAUACACUGUUCAUUACGGGCCAGUUUCACCACGGGCCGUUAAUAGGCCAAGAGUUACAUAGGGCCUCAUAUGGGCCGAAAGACGUCAUGGGCCAUACAUGGGCCAGAAGUGAAAACGGGCUGGAAUCAUAUUGGAUGGCCCAGAUGACGCUACUAGGCCUAAUUCGAAUAGGGCGUAACGGGCCUUGGGUUAGCGGGCUGUAAAUGGGCUAUAUGCGAACAGGCCGUUAACAGGCUUUCCAUGGGCCGGCCCGCCACCUUUUGACCAAGUCAAAUAGGCCGGCCUUUUCACAGGAAUGGGCCUCUCUUGGGCCGUGCCACGUGUCGAUGUAUCAUAGGCGCCUUCUGUCCAAUGAGUGGAUGACAUCUGUCCGAGCGAUGAGCCGACACGUGUUUCCUCUAGCCAAUGAUGAUUUUACACGUGGAAAAUCCCCAUUGGUCGGGGCUGUUAACGGGUUAUCGGAUCCAAAACCCGACCCGAUAGCUUAACGGCAUUCCGUUACGGUGGAUGCCACGUGUCGGUCACCCUUGACGAAAGCACUUAUGUGACGCGCGAUUUAUCGUCAUGGAAGUGGACACUUCCGUGAUGAUAAUUUUGGUAAUGUCAUGGAACACUUCUAUGACAACACAGGUAUGACUAUCUUGAUUCUGUCAUAAAUUUGUCAUGGAUGUACAUGCAUAACAAAAAACGCGACCUACUGUGACAAACACGUAUCAUCACGGAAGUGUAUUUUUUUGUAGUGACAGCGGCCUAAACCCGAGUAAAAUCACCAUGUCGUAGAAGCAGGAUUCGUGCGUCUCCUCGUCCCUCAUCGAACCAAAGAAGGGGGCAUCCCUUGCUCUCUAGUGUUGUGUUAGGACACACGACACAUGCAUUGUACUCUAGUGUUUAUGAGCAUAAGAAUGCACAAUGACUAUCGUAUGCUGGCAUCCUGAUUAAUAGAGUCAAUCGACUACUCGUAUCAACAAGCCGUACCUUCUAUUUCAGAAACCCAUCUCCAAAGAAUCACCACGUUAAGUGUGCUUGGACUGGAGAAAUUUGAAGAUGGGUGAACGGCUUAGAUGUUGUUCCCGGGUAGCCGACCCUCACGGUUACACAGGAGUGUGAGGGUAAGGGGCGUGUGCAUAUGGCGCAUGGAGCAUGUAACCCUUCGUGGCACAUGAGAUGACACAUGUGUCGACACUAGAUGCACAGAUGUGUGCCAAGAGUGAGCGUUCUUGUUAGGCCAAUGAAGAUAUCGGUUUCUUUGAGUGAGGUGUACGUGACAUCAUGGUUAAUAGAAUUUAUAGACUACUCAUAUCAACAUGGAGCACUUUAUUUUUCGAAAGUUCAUCAAAGAACCUCCAGAAGAAUGGUUCUCGGGUUCGUGCAAGUAAGCACAAAGUGGGUAGAUUAGGUAUAUUUGACCAAGCUAUAUUCCAGGGGAUAAUCAGUGAUAAUGAAUGGAAAUCGACGAUUGUGGUCGGGGCGUUACAUGUGCCCAAGCAUGGAGUGGCUUACUUAGUAAUCAAAUCAAUUUCUCAACAUACUCCUAAGGCUCAAUUCAUGUGGCUAUCCUAUGUUUGCCAUCGCCAUUUUCAAGUUCAUAAACAUAAGUAAGGUAAGCUAAACAAAUAAUUAAUUAUUGCUACCUCAGUGAGGGGUAGCAACGAAAAUGAAAGAUCAAAAAUCUAUGAAAACACAUGCGACAACCGUAAAUGAUAGAAGCCUUGUUUGCUAUAGUGGUGCAUAAUAUUAAAUUUAGUCAAAUUGUCCCUUACUUUAUUUACUGCCGUGGUUGCUAUUUUUGGUAUAAAACUAUUUCAAUGCUCAUUGUAUUUUAGUUCUUGUUGUAGCUAAAGAUACAAAGAGGUUGCAUUCUGACACAUUUGAGAGUUGGCCAGCUGGAAUGCUAAAAUUUCUACUCCCUAGUUCACUACUUGUAGAUUAACAGUUUACUAUAAAUGAAACUUAGCACAGCACAACUGAAGAACCAUAAACUAAGCCUCCUUUCCAAAACAAGUCUCCUGGUUUUACUUCAAAACCAAAAUCACGAUACUUAUUUUGAAACGGAGGGAGUAAUAGAAAAGCAAAGCUUACAAGUGUGCGGCUCAAAUUGAUUUAGAAUUAGUUUAUUUUAGAAAGAAGGCAAAUUUGUUUUCUCAUGCAAAAAAGGCGAUUGCAUGAGGCCUCAAAACGUGUGGAUGAGACGAAGUGUUCCUGUUGAACCAGAAAACCCGAUGCCAGAAAAGGUAAAAUUGUACUACUCUAGUUCACAGAUCACUCUCCAGCCUCCAAACCCCAUCCCUUCCGUUACCACAAAAAGAAACACCCAGCUAUCACCUUAUUGAUAUCUAUCACCGCAUUCUAUUCCAUCCAUUGUACUAUAUCCAUGGCUCAUGCUCAUGUACUGCGUGAGGUUGAAAAAUUUGAAGCGGUUAAGAAGUAUGAACCAAUUGCUCGGCUUGUCAUCGGGGUAGUUCAUGAUUAAUACUUUGUGUUAGGAAGAACAAGCAUGACAAGAUUAUAUGAUUUUGUAGGGAUGGCGUUCUUUAGCAUUUUUAUUUUGAAAGGCAUGAUUGUUUAUUCGUAUGCUUGAGUAUUGAUGUCUUUAUAUCAAAUUAUAGACUAUUGCUUUGAAUCAUUCAGAUCUAAAUAUUCAUACCGUAAAAGAGAUUACAUGAUACACAUGUUAGGUAGCAUUUCACAUCAAAAAAUUUGUUUUUAUCAUUUACCUACUCUAGGACGAGCAGGAAUUAAGCUUGGGGACGCUGAUACGUCUCCAACGUAUCUAUAAUUUUUUAUUGUUUCAUGGUAUUAUAUUAUCAAUCUUGGAUACUCUAUAUGAAUUUUUGUGCUAUUUAUAUCAUUUGUUGGGACUAACGUAUUAACCCAGUGCCUAGUGCUAGUUGUUGUUUUCUGCUUGUUUUUGGUUUCCAGAAAACUAGACCAAACGGAGUCCUAACACUAUGAAUCUUUCUACGAUUUUUUCUAGACAAGAGAAACCCUAGAAACUUCGGGAAGAGACCAGACGACAAUCGAGGAGACGACAAGGCAACAAGGCGCAUCCUGGGGGGCUGUUGCCUUGUGGGCCCCACGAGGCUCCGUCUGACCUAAUUCCACCUAUAUAAAUUCUCAAAUAUUGGGAAACCAAUGGAGAGCCACCCGAAACCUUUUUUUCACCGCCACAAGUUUUUGUUCUUCCGCGAUCCCAUCUGGAGGCCUUUUUGGUACUCUGUCAGAGGGGGAAUCGAUCACGGAGGGCUUCUACAUCAUCCUUGCUGCCUUCUGCUGAUGCGUGAGUAAUUCACCACAGACAUACGUGCCCAUAGCUAGUAACUAGAAGGCUUUUUCUCUCUCUUUGAUCUUCAAUACAAUGUUCUCCUCUAUGUUCUUGGAGUUAUAUUUGAUGUAAUUUUCUUUUGUAGUGUGUUUGUUGGGAUCCGAUGAAUUGUGAGUUUAUGAUCUGAAUAUUCAUGAGAAGUAAUCGAGUCUUUUCUGAAAUUUAUUAUGCUUGAUUGUUAUAGAUUUGUAUUUCUCUCCAGUCUAUCCGUUUGGUUUGGCCAACUAGAUUGAUUUAUCUUCAGUGGGAGAGGUGCUUUGUGAUGGGUUCAAUCUUGCGGUGCUCUAUAUCCGAGUAACAGAAGGGGACAAGGCACGUAUUUGUAUUGUUGCCAUUAAGGGUAGAACGAUGGGGUUUAUUCAUAUUGAUUGGGUUUACUUUGUCUACAUCAUGUCAUCUUGCUUAAGGCGUUACUCCGUUUUUAAUGAACUUAAUACCAUAGAUGCAUGCUGGAUAGCGGUCGAUUGGUGGAGUAAUAAUAGUAGAUGCAGGCGCGAUUCGGUCUACUUAUCUCGGACGACACACUCCCCAUUAGACUUAACCGGGGAUUACGCGAUGAACGCGGCUUUUUGCCGCCCGUGGUGACUCUCCAGCCUCCAUCCUGCUCGGCCUCGUGCCCGUGCUCUACGAGGUGGACCUUGGAGUGAGGGAUGCGGCGCACAGCUAGCGGCGAGGAGGGGGCGAAGGUGGGGAGGGGCCUUGUAACAUCCCAAAUUUUCAACUUGGAAUGUUAUACAUAGGUCAUUCAUGCAUAUCAUAUUUUAUUGCAUUGCGUUUCGUGAUCCUCGAAAUUCUAAGAAACUCAAGGACCCACGGAGAGAGUUGGGGAUUUCACCGUUUUUAUAUUUGAAUUUUCUCAAAUAUCGAAACAAGGAUCAUUUUGGUUUCAAUUACUGUUCCCUCUGAAAAUAUUUCAUAUUAAAAAAAUAUGAGAGGAGAUAAUAUGACUUCUCCAAAAUAAAUGAAAUAUUGGAGGAAAAAUAUUAAAAUCAAAUAAAUAAUUUUAUUUGGAUUUUAUUGCUAUUUUAUUUGAAUUAGAAAAAUAUGCAUUUUUCAAAAUUCCACUCUUAGGCCAAGAAAAUGUUCACUUUGUUCUAAAUAUUCUAUUUAGACGGUGAAAAUUUGUUUUGGCAUUUUUAGUUUUUUAGUUUACUUUUUUUUGGAUUUUUUCGACGGAAUCUGUUUUUUUUAAUAAUAAUAAGGUCAACGCCCGACUGGGCCAGCGGCCCAGCCAAGCCGGCCCACCUCGCGUCGCCGUCUCCCUCGCGGAGUCCGCGGCGUGCACGCCAGCCCCGCCGUGGCCGAGUCGGCCACGCCGCCGUCGCCCCUCCCCCACGCCACCGUCGCCCCUCCCCCACGCCACCUCUGCCCCUUCCCCUAAUAAAUACCGUCGUCGCCCCCCCCUUGCCCCACACCGCCGCCGCACCGCAGCGCACCUCCUGCUACCUCUUGAGCAAUGCGUUGGUUUUCCCUUGAAGAGGAAAGGGUGAUACAGCAAAGUAGCGUAAGUAUUUCCCUCAGUUUUUGAGAACCAAGGUAUCAAUCCAGUAGGAGGCUACGCGCGAGUCCCUCGCACCUACACAAAACAAAUAAAUCCUCGCAACCAACGCGAUAAGGGGUUGUCAAUCCCUACACGGUCACUUACGAGAGUGAGAUCUGAUAGAUAUGAUAGGAUAAUAUUUUUGGUAUUUUUAUGAUAAAGAUGCAAAGUAAAAUAAAAGCAAAGUAAAAAAGCAAAGGAAAUAACUAAGUGAUGGAAGAUUAAUAUGAUGAAGAUAGCCCCGGGGGCCAUAGGUUUCACUAGUGGCUUCUCUCAAGAGCAUAAGUAUUUUACGGUGGGUGAACAAAUUACUGUUGAGCAAUUGACAGAAUUGAGCAUAGUUAUGAGAAUAUCUAGGUAUGAUCAUGUAUAUAGGCAUCACGUUUGAGACAAGUAGACCGACUCCUGCCUGCAUCUACUACUAUUACUCCACACAUCGAUCGCUAUCCAGCAUGCAUCUAGAGUAUUAAGUUCAUAAGAACAGAGUAACGCCUUAAGCAAGAUGACAUGAUGUAGAGGGAUAAAUUCAUGCAAUAUGAUAAAAAAACCAUCUUGUUAUCCUCGAUGGCAACAAUACAAUACGUGCCUUGCUGCCCCUACUGUCACUGGGAAAGGACACCGCAAGAUCGAACCCAAAGCUAAGCACUUCUCCCAUUGCAAGAAAGAUCAAUCUAGUAGGCCAAACCAAACUGAUAAUUCGAAGAGACUUGCAAAGAUAACCAAUCAUACAUAAAAGAAUUUAGAAGAUUCAAAUAUUGUUCAGAUAAACUUGAUCAUAAACCCACAAUUCAUCGGUCUCAACAAACACACCGCAAAAGAAGAUUACAUCGAAUAGAUCUCCACGAGAGAGGGGGAGAACAUUGUAUUGAGAUCCAAAAAGAGAGAAGAAGCCAUCUAGCUAAUAACUAUGGACCCGAAGGUCUGAGGUAAACUACUCACACUUCAUCGGAGAGGCUAUGGUGUUGAUGUAGAAGCCCUCCGUGAUGGAUGCCCCCUCCGGCGGAGCUCCGGAACAGGCCCCAAGAUGGGAUCUCAUGGGUACAGAAGGUUGCGGCGGUGGAAUUAGGUUUUUGGCUCCGUAUCUGAUCGUUUGGGGGUACGUAGGUAUAUAUAGGAGGAAGGAGUACGUCGGUGGAGCAACGUGGGGCCCGCGAGGGUGGAGGGCGCACCUGGGGGGUAGGCGCGCCCCCCUACCUCGUGGCCUCCUGGAAGCUUCCUUGACAUAGGGUCCAAGUCUCCUGGAUCAUGUUCGUUCCGGAAAUCAUGUUCCCGAAGGUUUCAUUCCGUUUGGACUCCGUUUGAUAUUCUUUUUCUGCGAAACUCUGAAAUAGGCAAAAAACAGCAAUUCUGGGCUGGGCCUCCGGUUAAUAGGUUAGUCCCAAAAAUAAUAUAAAAGUGAAUAAUAAAGCCCAAUAAUGUCCAAAACAGAAGAUAAUAUAGCAUGGAGCAAUCAAAAAUUAUAGAUACGUUGGAGACGUAUCAAGCAUCCCCAAGCUUAAUUCCUGCUCGUCCUCGAGUAGGUAAAUGAUAAAAACAGAAUUUUUGAUGCGGAAUGCUACUUGGCAUAAUUUCAAUGUAAUUCUUCUUAAUUGUGGUAUGAAUAUUCAGAUCCGAAAGAUUCAAGAUAAAAGUUCAUAUUGACAUAAAAAUAAUAUUACUUCAAGCAUACUAACUAAGCAAUUAUGUCCUCUCAAAAUAACAUGGCCAAAGAAAGUUCAUCCCUACAAAAUCAUAUAGUUUAGUCAUGCUUCAUUUUCAUCACACAAGAAUGCUCUCAUCAUGCACAACCCCAAUGACAAGCCAAGCAAUUGUUUCAUACUUUAGUAAUCUCAAACUUUAUAAACCUUCACGCAAUACAUGAGCGUGAGCCAUGGACAUAGCACUAUGGAUGGAAUAGAAUAUAAUGAUGGGGGUUAUGUGGAGAAGACAAAAAAGGAGAAAGUCUCACAUCAACGAGGCUAAUCAAUGAGUUAUGGAGAUGCCCAUCGAUUGAUGUUGAUGCAAGGAGUAGGGAUUGCCAUGCAACGGAUGCACUAGAGCUAUAAAUGUAUGAAAGCUCAAAAAAAGAAACUAAGUGGGUCUGCAUCCAACUUGCUUGCUCACGAAGACCUAGGGCACUUGAGGAGGCCCAUUGUUGGAAUAUACAAGCCAAGUUCUAUAAUGAAAAAUUCCCACUAGUAUAUGAAAGUGACAAAACAAGAGACUCUCUAUCAUGAAGAUUAUGGUACUACUUUGAAGCACAAGUGUGGUAAAAGGAUAGUAGCAUUGUCCCUUUUUAUUUAUUUUUUUGGGCCUUCUUUUUUUUUAUUUGGUCUUUCUCUUUUUUGGGGGACAAUGCUCUAUUAAAUGAUGACCAUCACACUUCUAUUUAUUUACAACUCAAUGAUUACAACUCGAUACUAAACAAAGUAUGACUCUAUAUGAAUGCCUCCGGUGGUGUACCGGGAUAUGCAAUGAACCAAGAGUGACAUGUAUGAAAGAAUUAUGAACGGUGGCUUUGCCACAAAUACUAUGUCAACUACAUGAUCAUGCUAAGCAAUAUGACAAUGAUGAACGUGUCAUGAUAAACGGAAUGGUGGAAAGUUGCAUGGCAAUAUAUCUCGGAAUGGCUAAGGAAAUGCCAUAAUAGGUAGGUAUGGUGGCUGUUUUGAGGAACAUAUAAGGAGGUUUAUGUGUGAAAGAGCGUAUCAUAUCACGGGGUUUGGAUGCACCGGCGAAGUUUGCACCAACUCUCAAUGUGAGAAAGGGCAAUGCACGGUACCGAAGAGGCUAGCAGUGAUGGAAAGGUGAGAGUGCAUAUAAUCCAUGGACUCAACAUUAGUCAUAAAGAACUACAUACUUAUUGCAAAAAUCUACAAGUCAUCAAAAACCAAGCACUACGUGCAUGCUCCUAGGGGGAUAGAUUGGUAGGAAAAGACCAUUGCUCGUCCCCGACCGCCACUCAUAAGGAGGACAAUCAAAGAACACCUCAUGUUUCAAAUUUGUUACAUAACGUUUACCAUACGUGCAUGCUACGGGACUUGCAAACUUCAACACAAGUAUUUCUCGAAUUCACAACUACUCAACUAGCACGACUUUGAUAUCACUACCUCCAUGUCUCAAAACAAUCAUCAAGCAUCAAACUUCUCUUAGUAUUCAACACACUCAUAAGAAAGUUUUUACUAUCUUGAAUACCUAGCAUAUUAGGAUUUUUUAAGCAAAUUACCAUGCUAUUUAAGACUCUCAAAAUAAUCUAAGUGAAGCAUGAGAGAUCAAUAGUUUCUAUAAAACAAAUCCACCACCGUGCUCUAAAAGAUAUAAGUGAAGCACUAGAGCAAAAACUAUAUAACUCAAAAGAUAUAAGUGAAGCACAUAGAGUAUUCUAAUAAUUUCCAAAUCAUGUGUGUCUCUCUUAAAAGGUGUGUACAGCAAGGAUGAUUGUGGUAAACUAAAAAGCAAAGAAUCAAAUCACACAAGGCGCUCCAAGCAAAACACAUAUCAUGUGGUGAAUAAAAAUAUAGCUCCAAGUAAAGUUACCGAUGGAAGUAGACGAAAGAGGGGAUGCCUUCCGGGGCAUCCCCAAGCUUUGGAUUUUUGGUGUCCUUAGAUUAUCUUGGGGGUGCCUUGGGCAUCCCCAAGCUUAGGCUCUUGCCACUCCUUGUUUCAUAAUCCAUCAAAUCUUUCACCCAAAACUUGAAAACUUCACAACACAAAACUCAGCAGAAAAUCUCGUGAGCUCCGUUAGCGAAAGAAAACAAAAGACCACUUCAAGGUACAGUAAUGAACUCAUUCUUUAUUUAUAUUGGUGUUAAACAUAAUGUAUUCCAACUUCUCUAUGGUUUAUAAACUAUUUUACUAGCCAUAGAUUCAUCAAAAUAAGCAAACAACACACGAAAAACAGAAUCUGUCAAAAACAGAACAGUCUGUAGUAAUCUCUAACUAAUGCAAACUUCUGGAACUCCAAAAAAUCAGCCAAAAUAGGAAGACCUAGACAAUUUGUUUAUUGAUCAGAAUAAAUUUGAAUCAGUAAUUUAUCACGUUCUGGUGAUUUUUAACAAUUAUUUUCGUGAACAGAAAGUUUCUGGAAUUUCUGCAAGAUCAAAUAACUAUCAUCCAAGAAGAUCCUAUAGGUUUAACUUGGCACAAACACUAAUUAAAACAUAAAAACACAUCUAACCAGAGGCUAGAACAAAUAUUUAUUCCUAAACAGAAGCAAAAAGCAAAAAAUAAAAAUAAAAUUGGGUUGCCUCCCAACAAGCGCUAUCGUUUAACGCCCCUAGCUAGGCAUAAAAGCAAGGAUAGAUCUAGGUAUUGCCAUCUUUGGUGGGCAAUCCAUAAGUUGCUCUCAUAAUAGAUUCAUAUGGUAAUUUUAUUUUCUUCCUAGGGAAGUGUUCCAUGCCUUUCUUUAAUGGAAAUUGGAAUCUAAUAUUCCCUUCCUUCAUAUCAAUAAUUGCACCAAUCGUUCUAAGGAAAGGUCUACCAAGAAUAAUAGGACAUGAAGGAUUGAAAUCAAUGUCAAGAGCGAUAAAAUCUACGGGAACAUAGUUCCUAUUUGCAACAAUAAGAACAUCAUUAAUUCUUCCCGUAGGUUUCUUAAUAGUGGAAUCCGCAAGGUGCAAGUUUAAAGAGCAAUCAUCAAAAUCACGGAAACCUAGCAAAUCGCACAAAGUUUUUGAAAUCGUGGAAACACUAGCACCCAAAUCACACAAAGCAUAGCAUUCAUGAUCUUUAAUCUUAAUUUUAAUAGUAGGUUACCACUCAUCAUAAAGUUUUCUAGGCAUAGAAACUUCCAACUCAAGUUUUUCUUCAUAAGAUUGCAUCAAAGCAUCAACGAUAUGUUUGGUAAAAGCUUUAUUUUGACUAUAAGCAUGAGGAGAAUUUAGCACGGAUUGCAACAAGGAAAUACAAUCUAUCAAAGAGCAGUUGUCAUAAUUAAAUUCCUUGAAAUCCAAAAUAGUGGGUUUAUUAACAUCUAGAGUAUUGAUCUCUUCAAUCCCACUUUUAUCAAUUUUAGCAUCAAGAUCUAAAAACUCAGAAUUUUUGGAACGCCUUCUAGGUAAAGGUGGAUCAUAUUCAGUCCCAUCAUUAUCAAGAUUCAUAUCGCAAAACAAAGAUUUAAUAGGGGACACAUCAAUAACUUUUAGAUCUUCAUCUUUGUUUUUAUAGAAAUUUGAAGAACACGCUUUCAUAAAGCAAUCUUUCUUAGCACGCAUCCUAGCGGUUCUUUCUUUGCACUCAUCAAUGGAAAUUCUCAUGGCUUUGAGAGACUCAUUGAUAUCAUGAUUAGGAGGAAUAGAUCUCAGUUUCAAAGAAUCAACAUCAAGAGAAAUUCUAUCAACGUUCCUAGCCAAUUCAUCAACUUUAAGCAAUUUUUCUUCAAGCAAGGCAUUGAAAUUCUUUUGCGAAUUCAUAAAUUCCUUAACACUAGUCUUAAAUUCAGAGGGCAUCUUAUUAAAAUUUCCAUAAGAAUUGUUGUAGGAAUUACCAUAAUUAUUAGAGGAAUUGCUAGGAUAAGGCCUAGGAUUAAAGUUUCCUCUAUACCGUUGUUACCAAAAUUAUUCCUACCAACGAAAUUCACAUCCAUAGAUUCAUUAUUAUUCUCAAUCAAAGUAGACAAGGGCAUAUCAUUAGGAUCAGAAGAAACACUUUUACUAGCAAAUAAUUUCAUAAGUUCAUCCAUCUUUCCACUCAAAACAUUAAUUUCUUCUAUCGCAUGCACUUUUUUAUUAGUAGAUCUUUCAGUGUGCCAUUGAGAAUAAUUAACCAUAAUAUUAUCUAGGAGUUUAGUAGCUUCUCCUAAAGUGAUUUCCAUAAAAGUGCCUCCCGCGGCCGAAUCUAAAAGAUUUCUAGAAGCAAAAUUCAAUCUGGCAUAAAAAAUUUGUAUAAUCAUCCACAAAUUUAAACCAUGCGUAGGGCAAUUACGUAUCAUUAAUUUCAUCCUCUCCCAAGCUUGUGCAACAUGUUCAUGAUCAAGUUGCUUAAAAUUCACAAUAUCGUUUCUAAGAGAGAUGAUCUUAGCGGGAGGAAAAUACUUAGAGAUAAAAGCAUCUUUGCACUCAUUCCUAGAAUCAAUACUAUUUUUAGGCAAAGACGAAAACCAAGCUUUACCACGAUCUCUAAGCGAAAAAGGAAAUAGCUUCAAUUUAACAAUAUCAUUGUCAACAUCUUUCUUCUUUUGCAUAUCACACAAAUCAACGAAGCUGUUUAGAUAAGUAGCGGCAUCUUCACUAGGAAGGCCGGCGAAUUGGUCUUUCAUGACAAGAUUCAACAAAGCAGCAUUGAUUUCACAAGAUUCAGUAUUGGUAAGAGGAGCAAUCGGAGUGCUAAGGAAAUCAUUAUUGUUGGUAUUGGUAAAGUCACAUAAUUUGGUAUUAUCUUGAGCCAUCGUGACAAACAAGCAAUCCAACACACGAGCAAGCAAGAGACGGGCAAAAAGAAGCAAACGGAAAAGAGAGGGCGAAUAAAACGGCAAGGGUGAAGUGGGGGAGAGGAAAACGAGAGGCAAAUGGCAAAUAAUGUAAUGCGGGAGAUAAGGGUUUGUGAUGGGUACUUGGUAUGUUGACUUUUGCGUAGACCUCCCCGGCAACGGCGCCAGAAAUCCUUCUUGCUACCUCUUGAGCACUGCGUUGGUUUUCCCUUGAAGAGGAAAGGGUGAUACAACAAAGUAGCGUAAGUAUUUCCCUCAGUUUUUGAGAACCAAGGUAUCAAUCCAGUAGGAGGCUACGCGCGAGUCCCUCGCACCUACACAAAACAAAUAAAUCCUCGCAACCAACGCGAUAAGGGGUUGUCAAUCCCUACACGGUCACUUACGAGAGUGAGAUCUGAUAGAUAUGAUAUGAUAAUAUUUUUAGUAUUUUUAUGAUAAAGAUGCAAAGUAAAAUAAAAGCAAAGUAAAAAGCAAAGGAAAUAACUAAGUGAUGGAAGAUUAAUAUGAUGAAGAUAGACCCGGGGCCAUAGGUUUCACUAGUGGCUUCUCUCAUGAGCAUAAGUAUUUUACGGUGGGUGAACAAAUUACUGUUGAGCAAUUGACAGAAUUGAGCAUAGUUAUGAGAAUAUCUAGGUAUGAUCAUGUAUAUAGGCAUCACGUCCGAGACAAGUAGACCGACUCAUGCCUGCAUCUACUACUAUUACUCCACACAUCGACCGCUAUCCAGUAUGCAUCUAGAGUAUUAAGUUCAUAAGAACAGAGUAACGCCUUAAGCAAGAUGACAUGAUGUAGAGGGAUAAAUUCAUGCAAUAUGAUAAAAAAACCAUCUUGUUAUCCUCGGUGGCAACAAUACAAUACGUGCCUUGCUGCCCCUACUGUCACUGGGAAAGGACACCGCAAGAUUGAACCCAAAGCUAAGCACUUCUCCCAUUGCAAGAAAGAUCAAUCUAGUAGGCCAAACCAAACUGAUAAUUCAAAGAGACUUGCAAAGAUAACCAAUCAUACAUAAAAGAAUUCAGAAGAUUCAAAUAUUGUUCAUAGAUAAACUUGAUCAUAAACCCACAAUUCAUCGGUCUCAACAAACACACCGCAAAAGAAGAUUACAUCGAAUAGAUCUCCACGAGAGAGGGGGAGAACAUUGUAUUGAGAUCCAAAAAGAGAGAAUAAGCCAUCUAGCUAAUAACUACGGACCCGAAGGUCUGAGGUAAACUACUCACACUUCAUCGGAGAGGCUAUGGUGUUGAUGUAGAAGCCCUCCGUGAUGGAUGCCCCCUCCGGCGGAGCUCCGAAACAGGCCCCAAGAUGGGAUCUCAUGGGUACAGAAGGUUGCGGCGGUGGAAUUAGGUUUUUGGCUCCGUAUCUGAUCGUUUGGGGUUACGUAGGUAUAUAUAGGAGGAAGGAGUACGUCGGUGGAGCAACGUGGGGCCCACGAGGGUGGAGGGCGCGCCUGGGGAUGUAGGCGCGCCCCCUACCUCGUGGCCUCCUGGAAGCUUCCUUGACGUAGGGUCCAAGUCUCCUGGAUCAUGUUCGUUCCGAAAAUCAUGUUCCCGAAGGCUUCAUUCCGUUUGGACUCCGUUUGAUAUUCUUUUUCUGCGAAACUCUGAAAUAGGCAAAAAAACAGCAAUUCUGGGUUGGGCCUCCGGUUAAUAGGUUAGUCCCAAAAAUAAUAUAAAUAUGAAUAAUAAAGCCCAAUAAUGUCCAAAACAGAAGAUAAUAUAGCAUGGAGCAAUCAAAAAUUAUAGAUACGUUGGAGACGUAUCACCUCCCGAGCCGCACCGCAGCCCCGCCGCCUCGCGCCGCUGCACGCCUCCUCGCCGCCCGCUGCUGCUGNNNNNNNNNNNNNNNNNNNNNNNNNNNNNNNNNNNNNNNNNNNNNNNNNNNNNNNNNNNNNNNNNNNNNNNNNNNNNNNNNNNNNNNNNNNNNNNNNNNNNNNNNNNNNNNNNNNNNNNNNNNNNNNNNNNNNNNNNNNNNNNNNNNNNNNNNNNNNNNNNNNNNNNNNNNNNNNNNNNNNNNNNNNNNNNNNNNNNNNNNNNNNNNNNNNNNNNNNNNNNNNNNNNNNNNNNNNNNNNNNNNNNNNNNNNNNNNNNNNNNNNNNNNNNNNNNNNNNNNNNNNNNNNNNNNNNNNNNNNNNNNNNNNNNNNNNNNNNNNNNNNNNNNNNNNNNNNNNNNNNNNNNNNNNNNNNNNNNNNNNNNNNNNNNNNNNNNNNNNNNNNNNNNNNNNNNNNNNNNNNNNNNNNNNNNNNNNNNNNNNNNNNNNNNNNNNNNNNNNNNNNNNNNNNNNNNNNNNNNNNNNNNNNNNNNNNNNNNNNNNNNNNNNNNNNNNNNNNNNNNNNNNNNNNNNNNNNNNNNNNNNNNNNNNNNNNNNNNNNNNNNNNNNNNNNNNNNNNNNNNNNNNNNNNNNNNNNNNNNNNNNNNNNNNNNNNNNNNCCCGUGCCUCGCCGGAAUCCGAGCCGCCGCCGUCGGAUCUCGUCGUCGCGGUUUUUUUUCGGUUUGAGGUAAAAACCCCGGUUUAAAAAAAAACCUAGAUGCGUUUUUUUUGUUCGGUUUUCGUCGGUUUACUUAUUUAGCGGACGUUUGUCCGUUCGUUCAUUUUUACGAAUGAUAUUCGCCAGUUAGGUUCGGACAGCGAACGUUCGUUCGUUCGUCUUUUCUUUUUUUUUCACCUAGGGACCUAUCCGUGAUUACUUUUAUCGCAGAUUAGCCCCUGAUCUUCAAACGCUCGCCGUUUCUUAACCAUUUGUCCAAAUCCAGUGAAACCAACGCCAAAAUCUUUGUCUCGAGUCCCUCUUUAUGUAUAAUAAACUUGAACAAGGUUUUGACAAUUUGAAAAUUGGUUUCAAGCAGAUUUGUAUUCGAAGUUCUUUUGACCGUAGUUUCAGUUUCGUAGCUCCGAUUUGAUUGAUUCUUUUUGCAGAUCGAAUCUCUUCAGUUGAGUUUUCAGAUUUGAUCUUCUUAUUUGAGUUUUACCCGUGCAUCUUUGAUUGAGUGCUUAUGUAUGCUAUUGUUUGUUUGCGAUAGAAUUCCCGGAGUGCGAAGCGUGCUACUACGAGUCACUAGGUUUUGCGGAUCGUCGGCAAGGCAAGUAACACAUUGAUCAUACUCUUUUCAUACCCAGUUUUUAUGCAUUAGUUUCAAUCCUCAAACAUUGCAUGAUUAGGAUGUGAUUAACAUGUGGGUAUUGGGAAGUAGAUGAUGAGGUAGAACCUAUUGCCCUGUUUAUUAUCAAACCCUGGGAGUUACUUCUACGUUAUGCUUAUGUUGCUAUGCUAUGCUCGUAGACGUGGUUUGGUUUGAGAGAUCCAUGACAGUUGUGAGUGUUUAAUUAAUGGUUAACUUAAGGUGGCAACUUUAAUACACAUCUGGGUGGAUUGCUUGUGGGCACCUGGAGAAUCCAGUGUUGUCCUAGGAUAUCCCGGAGUACCCGUGUGAUCAUCCUACGGUCCGCCACCCAGGCUCAAAGGGAUCAUAAGAUUAUUCAUGCUAGAAACUUCCGUGUGCAGCCACAAGCUAUUAUGGGCUCUAGCAUAGUUGAGUAUGUUGCAUGACCUCUUUCAGUGGUGGGCUAGCAGAUGUAGGAGAAAGUAGGUGUAACUGUCCACCCAGAGUAAAGAGUUAAUGUUUCUGAAAGACUGUGUCUUGUUCAUCCGUUUCUCAAACACCAUGUAGUGCGAGAAAUUCAAUGGAGGAGAUCGAGUCUUGUGGGGAAAAGUGCGCAAACCUCUGCAGAGUGUACAAACUAAUCAUGGUUAGCCGUGUCCCCGGUUAUGGACAUCUUGAGUAUCUGGUUCUUGGAUUAUCAUAUGGAUCUCAUCACUCUAAUUUAAUUUGUUGGGUUGAUAACGACUUUUAAUUGGGUUUGAGUUGGAGGAACCUUCUCAAUGUUGUUCAACUACCAUGAUAGUUAAAUAAAAUAUAUUCCUUUGUUGUAGGGAAAAGUUGGCUUUUCGCAAAAACAUAUUAACCAUAGAGCCUCCACCAGCCAUAUAUGCAUGUAGUGAUAGCAUCUAUCUUGUUCAUUGCUCUACUGUGUUAUAUUGCCAGGAUAUUCCAUGUGCUCCGUUUUCGGGCUGCAACUUAUCAUGUUGCAGACUUUUCACACGAAGAGUAAGGUGCGCUAGGUCGUUGUCGUGCACUCAGCUAUGCCGUUGGAGUUGAUGGACUCACUUUAUCUUCCAAGCCUUCCGCUGUUAUUUAUUUAGAUGGCCUUAAGCCAUAUUUAUUGUAAUAAGUUCUCUUUUGUGACUAUCGAUGUAAUAAGUGUGUGAUUGCUACUCUGUUAUAAAUCCUUCAAGUACUGCGUGUGUCAGCAUUACCGAUCCAGGGAUAACACUUAAGCACAGAGACUUGACCGUCUGAGGUCGGGUCGCUACAAGAUGGUAUCAGAGCACACGCUGAAUAUAGGACACGACCACUAAGAUGAGCCAUAGGUCACUCUUCUCUACUCAUUUCUAACUCCUCUCCAUUUUCUACCCUUUAGGAUGGCGGACUCAAGGAACAAGUUUACACAACCGGAUGAAGACACACCUUUUGGGACACACUUGAAGGAAGUUACUAGGUACCUGAACAUCGGAAUACCAAGCUUCACCGGGACCUACACCGCCACUUUACCAGAAGAGGAGCGAUGGAUGAUUCGAGUUCAAGUUCCAGGAAGGACGUUCACGCCAGUCACUGAGCCCAUAGAGUUUUCUUUUGACGCACCAACCUGGAGUCUAGGAAAGAGCAUGGCAGCCCACAUUGCUAUGGGAUGCAUCAGAGAAGUCUACAAACAGGAUCUUAAGGACACCAUCUAUCAGAUAUGUGGGCGCCGGGAUGAGCAAUGGGAGAUGAUCAGUACCGGGAGGGACAGGUCCAUUGCAGCUUUUAUCCAGGAGCUAAACCAGCACAUUCGUCGACAGGAGAACCAGAUGUGUGCAAGCAUGAUAGAUCUGAAGAAGGCGAUGACCAGGAACAUGGAGCUAGAAGCGGAACUCAAGUCUACAUGCGACGGAUGCGAGGAAGAAAUCGCAAUACUAGUGGAGAAGAAUGACGACCUGACAAGGAAGCUCAGAGUAUUCAUGGGAGAUGUGACGCCCCCGAUUUGACCGUACACUAAUCAUGCACGCAAAUGUGUACGAUCAAGGUCAGGGACUCACGGGAAGAUAUCACAACACAACUCUACAACAUAAAUAAGUCAUACAAGCAUCAUAAUACAAGCCAGGGGCCUCGAGGGCUCGAAUACAAGUGCUCGAUCAUAGACGAGUCAGCGGAAGCAAUAAUAUCUGAGUACAGACAUAAGUUAAACAAGUUUGCCUUAAGAAGGCUAGCACAAAAGUAGCAACGAUCGAAAAGGCAAGGCCUCCUGCCCGGGACCUCCUAACUACUCCUCGAAGCCGAACUCCAUGUAGAAUCACCCUCGGGAUCUCUAGCUCCUGGACUCCAGCAUCUGGUUGCGACAAUCCGGUAUAGAAAAAGGGGAAAGAGGGAGAAAAGCAACCGUGAGUACUCAUCCAAAGUACUCGCAAGCAAGGAGCUAUACUACAUAUGCAUGGGUAUAUGUGUAAAGGGGCAUAUCAGUGGACUGAACUGCAGAAUGCCAGAAUAAAAGGGGGAUAGCUAGUCCUGUCGAAGACUACGCUUCUGGCCAUCUCCAUCUUGCAGCAGGUAGAAGAGAGUAGAUUGAAGUCCUCCAAGUAGCAUCGCAUAGCAUAAUCCUACCCGACGAUCCCCUCCUCGUCGCCCUGUUAGAGAGCGAUCACCGGGUUGUAUCUGGCACUUGGAAGGGUGUAUUUUAUUCAGUAUCCAGUUCUAGUUGUCGUCAAGGUACAACUCCGGGUCGUCCUUUUACCGAGGGACACGGCUAUUCGAAUAGAUAAACUUCCCUGCAGGGGUGCACCACAUAACCCAACACGCUCGAUCCCAUUUGGCCGGACACACUUUUCUGGGUCAUGCCCGGCCUCGUAAGAUCAACACGUCGCAGCCCCACCUAGGCUCAUCAGAGAGGUCAGCACGCCGGUCUAAACCUAUGCGCGCAGGGGUCUGGGCCCAUCGCCCUAUGCACACCUGCACGUUGCGUACGCGGCCGGAAGCAGACCUAGCCCCCUUAAUACAAGCGCGAGCUUACGGUCCAAUGCGGCGCGCGCCACUCAGUCGCUGACGUCAAAAGAGCUUCGGCUGAUACCACGACGUCGGGAUACCCAUAACUACUCCCACGUAGAUGGUUAGUGCGUAUAGACCAAAUGGCCAGACUCAGAUCAAAUACCAAGAACUCGUUAAGCGUGUUAAGCAUCCGCGAACGCCGACCAGGGCCAGGCCCACCUCUCUCCUAGGUGGUCUCAACCUGCCCUGUCGCUCCGCCAUAAAGUAACAGUCGGGGGCCGUCAGGAACCCAGGCCCACCUCUACCGGGGUGGAGCCACCUGUCCUUUCAGCCCCCUCAUCAGAAUCACUUGCGGGUACUCCUCGAGCCGACCCGACUUUAGUCACCACAUGUGUCAUGUAUAAAUGUAUAUAGUAUAUACCCGUGAUCACCUCCCAAAGUGAUCACGGCCCAGUAGUAUAGCAUGGCAGACGGACAAGAGUGUAGGGCCACUGAUGGAACACUAGCAUCCUAUACUAAGCAGUAGGAUAGCAGGUAAAGGUAUCAACAGUAGUAGCAAGGAUGGGCUAUGCAUCAGGAUAGGAUAUCGAAAAACAGUAACAUGCUACACUACUCUAAUGCAAGAAGUAUAGAGAAGAAUAGGCGAUAUCUGGUGAUCAAGGGGGGGGGGCUUGCCUGGUUGCUCUGGCAAGUAGGAGGGGUCGUCGACUCCGUAGUCGAACUGGGCAGCAGCAGUGUCGGUCUCGUAGUCUACCGGAGAGAAGAGGGGGAAGAAACAGUAAAUACAAUGCAAACAUAAGCAUGACGAUGCGUGACAUGACAAUGAGCGGUGCUAGGUGUGUCCUAACGCGACAGUAGGUGGUACCGGCGAAGGGGGGAACAUCCGGGAGGUAUUCCCGAUGUUUCGCGUUUUCGGACAGACGGACCGGAGGGGGAAAGUUGCUAGUUCGAUAGGUUAGGGAGGUGUGGUGGACGAACGGACUGCGUAUUCGGAUUCGUCUCGUCGUUCUGAGCAACUUUCAUAUAGAAAACAUUUUCAUCCGAGUUACGGUUUAAAAGAUAUGAAUUUUCAAAGUUUAUUUGAAUUUCUGGAAUUAUUUGAAUUUAGCAAAAAUGAAUUAUGACGUCAGCAUGAGGUAAUGCUGAUGUCAGCAGGUCAACAGGUCGGCUGACCAGUCAACCCAGACAGGUGGGUCCAGUGGGACCCACAUGUCAGCCUCUGUUAGUCUAAUAUUAAUUUAAACUAAACUAACAGUCUAAUUAGAGGGGUGGGCCCCAUAUGUCAGUGAGUGAUUAGUUAAUCUAAUUAAUUUUAUUUAUAAAACAUUUUCCUUUUUCCUUUUUUUUAAUUUUUGCGGCGGGGCCCGCAUGUCAGUGGCUGGGCCUGCCCAGUCAGCAGUUGACUGGGUCAACCCAGUCAACUGGGUCCACGGGGCCCACUGGCAGUGGUACUGGGGGUGGCCCCAGGCCAGCCACGUCGGCGGCCGGCGCCGGAGCGACUCCGACGAGCCAAACGCGGCGGCGCGGCUCGGGAGGGGCGCGGGUUUCGCGCACAGGGGGUCUGCGGGGUUGUGGCUGGGCGCGUUCGACGCGGCUCGGCGCCGCGCGUCCAACGGUGGUGGCCGGAGUGGCUGGAACGGGCGGGGGCGAGCACUUCGAGCUCGCCGGCGGCGAGGUGCUUCGGGCUGGGGCGGGUGCGGCGUUAGAGCGCGCGAGCGGCCGAACUAACUAGCUAGGCGGGUGCGGCACGAUGCGGUCGAGGUAACGGGCCUACGCCCAUGACCAAAUGGUCACCGGAGACCCGCCGGCGACGAGCUCCGCGGCGCGGCGUUCGGGCGCGCGUGGGGAAGCCGCUAGGGGGCGCGCGAGAGAGAAAGGACAGGGGAGGAGGGGGGAGAGGCUCACCGCGCGGCACACGGAGGCCGGUGAGAGGCUUAGGACCAGCAGGUCGGCGUCGGGGAAGAAGGGGGUCGCCGGCGUCCGAAGCUGAAGACGAGCUCGGUGUGCUCGUUGUAGGGGCUCCGGUCUCCAACGGGCUGCACCAGACGCAGCAGCGGGCGACGGCGGUCCUUGGAGACACCUUGGGGCGGCGAGGCGGGCACGGUGGCCGUGUGAACGACGGUGAACGGAGGCGACCGCGUCGGGCGUGGGGAAGGGAGGAGCGGCGCGGACCUGGGGGGGAAGAGAGAGGCGCAGAGGCCGAGAGGAGAGAGAGAGGGGGGGAGUGGAGGUGCCCGAGGCGUCGCGGGAGGUGGAGGCCUUAUCCUCUCGCGGCGAUGCCGGCGAGGUGAUCCGGCGGGGUCUCGCCCCUGUAGCGAUGCGGUCGCUGGAACAGGGAAGACGACCGGGGAGGGGGAGUUGGGCUGGCUAGCUGGCCAGCUGGGCCAGUGGGCCAAGGCCCUUGGGGAGCCCGGGGUUUCUUUUCUUUUGCUUUCUUUUUACUUUUUAUUUAUUUUUCUUUUCUGUUUUAUUUCCAGUUUCUCUUUUAUUUUGUUUUAGUAAAUUACCAAAGUGACACCUAAAUAGAUUUUACAAAUUAUGCCACUGCCACAAUAGUUUAAUACUUAUAACAAUUUAGUUUUGAAGAUGUUUAUUAUUUUUAAAGCAUUUAAAUAAUUGUAUUUGCUACUGUUUUAUUCAUUUUAGAGUAUUUAAACAUUUUAUAAAAGUGUGGUUUCUCCACCAUAAUUACCUAUGCAAUAUUUGGUUCACUCCGAACAUUUUAGUUUUAAUAUUUGAAAACUUUUAUUGUUUUCUUUUAUUUAAAUUUUGAAUUUGUUUCAGUUCUGAACUAUCGAGAGUUUAUCAACAGUAACCGCGGUGACAUGGCAUCAUUAGCAGGGGAUCACUGUAGCUUAAUUAUCCGGGCGUCACAGGAGACCCCGCGCCAGUAGGAGGUGAUGACCAAUCCAACGACAUCCGUUAUGAAGACUACAUCAUCAUCGACGACACCGACUCCGACCCUGACAGUAGUGAUGAUGAUUACGAAGAUGAAGCUGGAGCGGAUAUCAUGGAGUCUUCCACCGAUCAAAAUUUCUAGUAGACCACCAUAUGAUCAGUAGUAUUUCCCGCAUGUAUAUAGUAGUAGUCCGAGCACUGUAACGAUAGUUAGAUCGAUUGUAUGCCCUUGUUUGAAUUGAUUUGGUGUGAUAUGAUUGUGUUUGUCUCAUGUGUAUAUGGGUAGUGAUUUCCCCUUAGACCUCACUCUAUUCUAAUCUCUUCUCUCUAAACCCAUCAGAUGCCUCCGAGACGUGACACCGGAUUUGUUUUCCCACCGGAGCUCACUCAGUUGAUCCAGCAGCAGAAUGCCUUGAUGCAGUUGUUAGUUUAGAACCAAGGCAACAACAACAACAACAACAACAACCCACCGCCACCACCUCCAGUUGACAAUUUAGCCCGUUUUCUGAGGUUGCGGCCGCCGGUGUUUUCCAGUAGCACCGAGCCGAUAGUUGCUGAUGAUUGGCUACGCAGGAUUGGAAGGGAGUUGACCACCGCAGGUUGCCUAGAUGCUGAGAAGGUGCGUUUUGCCGCACAUCAAUUGGAUGGACCCGCAGCCUCAUGGUGGGAGAAUUACACAGCCACUUUCCCUAUAGCCAAUAUCACUUGGGAACAGUUUCAGCAAGCUUUCCGCACAGCCCAUGUCUGAACUGGAGCUAUGAGCAUGAAGAAGCAUGAGUUUCGCAACUUACGCCAGGGGAAUCGUACUGUGGGGCAGUACGUAGAUGGGUUUAACAAGUUAUCUCGCUAUGCCCCUGAGGAUGUGGCCACAGAUGCCGCGAAGCAGGAGAAGUUUAUGGAAGGGUUGAAUGAUGAGAUGAGCAUGCAGUUAAUGGUGGCAACAUUUAACAACUACCAGGAGUUGGUAGACAAGGCCCUUAUGAUUGAAGGGAAGCAGCAACAAAUUGAGAGCCACAAGAGGAAGUAUGGACAAGGGAAGUACAAUUCAGGGGCUCAGCAGAAGCCGCGUUUUACCCCGAACUCGGGAGGAUAUACCCAUAACCAUGGAGGCCACACUCACAAUGGAGGAAGUUCUCAUAAUCACAAUGGCCCCAAGAAUGGGAAUGGGAAUGGAGCAAGCAACAAUCAGAACUGCUCCAACCCAGCCACACCCGCCAAGAAGGACUUAAGUCACAUUACUUGUUUCAAGUGCGGGAAGACUGGACACUACGCCACCAAGUGUUUUGAAGCAAAGAAUGGCAACGCAAUGGAAGCUCUGGGAAGAAGCCCAACCCUUUCAACAGGGGACAAGUGAACCACGUUAACGUGGAGGAGGUUGAAGAGCAGCCAGACGCAGUUAUCGGUAAGUUUUUGGUUAAGUCAUUUACCGCUCUCGUUCCUUUUGAUACUGGUGCAUCGCAUUCAUACAUUUCAAGGGGAUUUGUGGAUAAGUAUAAGUUGCCCACUAAAGUUCUUAGAACACCUAUGUUAGUAACCUCACCCGGAGCUGAGUAUAUGGCAAGUAGUGGAUGUUUCAGAUGCCAUUAACCAUAGGUAGCCAUACCUUCCCCUCAGACUUUAUAAUUCUAGAAUCCCAAGGAUUGGAUGUGAUUCUAGGCAUGGAUUGGUUGUCGAUGUAUGGAGGAAACAUCGAUUGCGCCAGUAAGUCAAUUCUGCUCACCACCCCGGAGGGAAAAAGGAUCAAGUAUGUAUCUAGGCAUGCGCCUAGGAGGACUCAAGUAAAUUCCCUCUCAGGAGUUGUUCAGGAGGAAGUGCUUUUUGUGAAGGAUUACCCGGAUGUGUUUCCAGAGGAAUUACCAGGCAUGCCGCCAGAUCGAGACAUCGAGUUUUUGAUAGAGCUGUUGCCAGGCACCGGACCGAUAUCAAAGAGACCAUACCGGAUGCCCGCGAAUGAUCUGGAAGAGAUCAAGAAACAGAUUAAGGAGCUACUGGAGAAAGGUUACAUCCGACGAAGUUCCUCACCAUGGGGAGCCCCUGUGCUCUUGGUUGAGAAGAAGGAUGGAUCGUUGAGAAUGGUUGUUGAUUAUCGUGCGUUGAAUGAAGUGACGAUCAAGAACAAGUACCCACUGCCGAUGAUCAAUGAUUUGUUUGACCAGCUGCAAGGAGCUAAAGUGUUUUCGAAGAUCGAUCUGCAAUCAGGAUAUCACCAGCUGAAGAUACGAGAAAAGGAUAUACCAAAGACAACUUUCACCACAAGAUACGGGUUAUAUGAGUACACGGUUAUGUCAUUUGGAUUGACUAAUGCCCCUGCCUAUUUCAUGAGUAUGAUGAAUAAGGUGUUUAUGGAGUUCUUGGAUAAGUUUGUUGUGGUGUUCAUUGAUGAUAUUUUGGUAUACUCGAAGAAUGAAGAGGAGCACAAGGAACACUUGCGUUUAGUUCUCGAGAAGCUCAGAGGACACCAGUUGUAUGCCAAGUUCAGCAAAUGUGAGUUUUGGUUGAAGGAGCGUUUUUGGUGGACUGGUAUGAAGAAGGAUAUUGCCGAGUAUGUAGCAGUGUGUGAUGUAUGUCAGAGAGUGAAGGCAGAACAUCAGAAGUCAGCAGGACUACUGCAGCCUAUGCCGAUACCCGAAUGGAAGUGGGACAAGCUUGGCAUGGAUUUUAUCACCGGAUUACCCAAGACCCGAUCGGGAUAUGAUUCUAUCUGGGUAGUAGUUGAUCGCUUGACCAAAGUAGUUCACUUUAUCCCAGUGAAAACCACUUAUACAAGUGCGAAGUUGGCCAAGAUAUAUAUGACCAGGAUCGUAUGUCUGCAUGGAGUUCCGAGGACCAUCGUAUCAUAUAGAGGAACACAAUUCACUUCAAAGUUUUGGCAUCAGCUGCACCAGACUUUGGGGACCAGACUAGAGUUUACUACAGCCUUUCAUCCGCAGACAGAUGGACAGACUGAGAGAGUCAAUCAGAUUCUGGAGGACAUGUUGAGAGCUUGUGCGCUAGAUUAUGGAUCUAGUUGGGAUGACAAUUUGCCUUACGCGGAGUUCUCAUACAACAAUAGCUACCAAGCCAGUUUGAAGAUGGCCCCUUUCGAAGCCUUGUAUGGACGAAGAUGCAGGACACCGUUGAUGUGGGAUGAAGUUGGAGACCGUCAGUUGUUUGGACCCGAUUUGAUCAAAGAGUCAGAAGAGAAGGUUUAGCUGAUUCGAGAUAGACUGAAGGUAGCACAGUCCAGGCAGAAGAGUUAUGCAGACCCGAAAUGCAAGGAGGUAGUCUAUGAAGUCGGAGACAGAGCCUAUCUUCCAGUAUAACCUCUGCGAGGAGUUAAACGAUUUGGAGUUAAGGGAAAGUUAGCCCCGAGAUUUGUAGGACCAUACCGAGUUUUGGAAUGUAUGGGAGAGGUUGCCUACAAGUUGGAUUUACCCGAAGGAUUGUCAGGAGUUCAUGAUGUGUUUCACGUUUCUCAGUUGAAGAAGUGCCAUGCAAAGAUGGCUGAUAUACCUCUGAGAGAUACAGUGCCCCUGGAAGCUAUUCAGUUGGACAGUGAUCUGACCUAUGAGGAGAAACCAGUUAAGAUUCUCGAGUUUGCCAACCGAGUUACUCGCAGCAAAGUUAUCAAGUUUUGCAAAGUUCAGUGGAGCCACCAUACCGAGGAUGAAGCCACCUGGGAACGAGAGGAUGAUCUACGCAAAGACCACCCACACCUAUUUUCUAGCCAACCCGAAUCUCGAGGGCGAGAUUCAUCUUAAGGGGGGUAGGUUUGUAACAUCCCAAAUUUUCAAUUUGGAAUGUUAUACAUAGGUCAUUCAUGCAUAUCAUAUUUUAUUACAUUUCGUUUCAUGAUCCUCGAAAUUCUAAGCAACUCAAGGACCCAUGGAGAGAGUUGGGGAUUUCACCGUUUUUAUAUUUGAAUUUUCUCAAAUAUCGAAACAAGGAUCAUUUUGGUUUUAAUUACUUUUCCCUCCAAAAAUAUUUCAUAUUAAAAAAUGAGAGGAUACAAUAUGACUUCUCCAAAAUAAAUGAAAUAUUGGAGGAAAAAUAUUAAAAUCAAACAAAUAAUUUUAUUUGGAUUUUAUUGCUAUUUUAUUUGAAUUAGAAAAUAUGCAUUUUUCAAAAUUGCACUCUUAGGCCAAGAAAAUGUUCACUUUGUUCUAAAUAUUCUAUUUAGACGGUGAAAAUUUGUUUUGGCAUUUUUAGAUUUUUAUUUUAUUUUUUUGGAUUUUUUCCGGCGGAAUCUGUUUAAAAAAAAAGGUCAACGCCCGACUGGGCCAGCGGCCCAGCCGAGCCGGCCCACCUCGCGCCGCCGUCUCCCUCGCGGAAUCCGCGCCGCGCAUGCCAGCCCCGCCGUGGCCGAGUCGGUCACGACGCCGUCGCCCCUCCNNNNNNNNNNNNNNNNNNNNNNNNNNNNNNNNNNNNNNNNNNNNNNNNNNNNNNNNNNNNNNNNNNNNNNNNNNNNNNNNNNNNNNNNNNNNNNNNNNNNNNNNNNNNNNNNNNNNNNNNNNNNNNNNNNNNNNNNNNNNNNNNNNNNNNNNNNNNNNNNNNNNNNNNNNNNNNNNNNNNNNNNNNNNNNNNNNNNNNNNNNNNNNNNNNNNNNNNNNNNNNNNNNNNNNNNNNNNNNNNNNNNNNNNNNNNNNNNNNNNNNNNNNNNNNNNNNNNNNNNNNNNNNNNNNNNNNNNNNNNNNNNNNNNNNNNNNNNNNNNNNNNNNNNNNNNNNNNNNNNNNNNNNNNNNNNNNNNNNNNNNNNNNNNNNNNNNNNNNNNNNNNNNNNNNNNNNNNNNNNNNNNNNNNNNNNNNNNNNNNNNNNNNNNNNNNNNNNNNNNNNNNNNNNNNNNNNNNNNNNNNNNNNNNNNNNNNNNNNNNNNNNNNNNNNNNNNNNNNNNNNNNNNNNNNNNNNNNNNNNNNNNNNNNNNNNNNNNNNNNNNGCCCCGGUUGCGCCUUGCCGGAAUCCGAGCCGCCGCCGUCGGAUCUCAUCGUCCCGGUUUUUUUGUUUUUUUAAAAAAAAACCUAGAUGCGUUUUUUGGUUCGGUUUUCGCCGGUUUACUUAUUUAGCGGACGCUCGUCCGUUCGUUCGUUUUUACGAACGAUAUUCGCCGGUUAGGUUCAGACAGUGAACGUUCGUCCGUUAGUCUUUUCUUUUUACUUUAUUUUCACCCAGGGACCUAUCCGCGAUUACUUUUAUCGCAGAUUAGCCCCUGAUCUUCAAAUACUUGCCGUUUCUUAACCGUUUGUCCAAAUCCAGUGAAACCAACGCCAAAAUCUUUGUCUCGAGUCCCUCUUUCUGUUUAAUCAACUUGAACAAGGUUUUGACAAUUUAAAAUUUGGUUUCAAGCAGAUUUGUAUUCGAAGUUUUUUUGACCGUAGUUUCAGUUCCGUAGCUCCGAUUUGAUUGAUUCUUUUUGCAGAUCGAAUCUCUUCAGUUGAGCUUUCAUAUUUGAUCUUCUUAUUUGAGUUUUACCUGUGCAUCUUUGCUUGAGUGCUUAUGUAUGGUAUUAUUUGUUUGCGAUAGAAUUCCCGGAGUGCGAAGCGUGCUACUAUGAGUCACUAGGUUUUGCGGAUCGUCAGCAAGGCAAGUAACACAUUGAUUAGGGAUGGCACCCGCAGGGUAUGGGUACGGGUGGAGCUACCCCAUACCCUUACCCGUCCGCCCUGAGUUUACCCAUCACCCAUGCCCAUACCCGUCAAGGGUACAAUUUUUUCCCAUAUCCGUCACCCGCCAGGGUAUAUGGGUACCCGCGGGUACAAAUAACCGCGUUUACAACACAUCAAUUGAGUAGAAAAUAGUUGUAAAAAGCAACAUAUAAUCAUAAAUUAUUAAUAGCAACACAUUUUAAACAGCAAUGUACAACAACAUAUUGUAACAACAACAUAUUCUCAUAAAGAAAAAUACUUGCCUAUAAAGUGACAUAUAAAAAUGUUAAACAACAACACAUAAUCAUAAAUAACAACACAUAUGCAUACACUUUUAGUUCACGAAAUCAUGAUAAAUUAUAGAGAUAAUUUGAAUACACAUUAGAGUUUUUACCUAGCAUGAUUAGGAGGGGAAAUGAAUACAUUGGAAUAUUAACGGAAACCCACCUGUCAACAUUUUAGAUGGGUACGCGGGCAUGGGUUAUACGAUCCCAUACCCGUACCCUCUCUACCCGAUGGGUAUGAUAUUUUCCCAUUUAAUUACCCAUGGGUAAUUUUUUGUCCCAUACCCUUACCCUAAUAGGGUUUUUACCCACAGGGUACGCGGAUAAUGGGUACCCAUUGCCAUCCCUAACAUUGAUCAUACUCUUUUCAUACCCAGUUUUUAUGCAUUAGUUUCAAUCCUCAAACACUGCAUGAUUAGGAUGUGAUUAACGUGUGGGUAUUGGGAAGUAGAUGAUGAGGUAGAACCUAUUGCCCUGUUUAUUAUCAAACCCUGGGAGUUACUUCUACGUUAUGCUUAUGUUGCUAUGCUAUGCUCGUAGACGUGGUUUGGUUUGAGAGAUCCAUGGCAGUUGUGAGUGUUUAAUUAAUGGCUAACUUAAGGUGGCAACUUUAAUACACAUCUGGGUGGAUUUCUUGUGGGCACCUGGAGAAUCCAGUGUUGUCCUAGGAUAUCUCGGAGUACCCGUGUGAUCAUCCUACGGUCCGUCACCCAGGCUCAAAGGGAUCAUAAGAUUAUUCAUGCUAGAAACUUCCGUGUGCAGCCACAAGCUAUUAUGGGCUCUAGCAUAGUUGAGUAUAUAUGUUGCAUGACCUCUUUCAAUGGCGGGCUAGCAGAUGUAGGGGAAAGUAGGUGUAACUGUCCACCCAGAGUAAAGAGUUAAUGUUUCUGAAAGACUGUGUCUCGUUCAUCUGUUUUUCAAACACCAUGUAGUGCGAGAAAUCCAACGAAGGAGAUCGAGUCUUGUGGGGAAAAGUGCGCAAACCUCUGCAGAGUGUACAAACUAAUCAUGGUUAGCCGUGUCCCCGGUUAUGAACAUCUUGAGUAUCUGGUCUUGGAUUAUCUUAUGGAUCUCAUCACUCUAAUUUAAUUUGUUGGGUUGAUAACUACUUUUAAUUGGGUUUGAGUUGGAGGAACCUUCUCAAUGUUGUUCAACUACCAUGAUAGUUAAAUAAAAUAUAUUCCUUUGUUGUAGGGAAAAAUUGGCUUUUCGCAAAAACAUAUUAACCAUAGAACCUCCACUAGCCAUAUAUGCAUGUAGUGAUAGCAUCUAUCUUGUUCAUUGCUCUACUGUGUUAUAUUGCCAGCAUAUUCCAUGUGCUGACCCGUUUUCGGGCUACAACGUCUCAUGUUGCAGACUUUUCAGACGAAGAGUAAGGUGCGCUAGGUCGUUGUCGUGCACUCAGCUAUGUCGUUGGAGUUGAUGGACUCACUUUAUCUUCCAAACCUUCCGCUGUUAUUUAUUUAGAUGGCCUUAACCCAUAUUUAUUGUAAUAAGUUCUCUUUUGAGACUAUCGAUGUAAUAAGUGUGUGAUUGCUACUUUGUUAUAAAUCCUUCGAGUACUGUGUGUGUCAGCAUUACCGAUCCAGGGAUGACACUUAAGCACAGAGACUUGACCGUCUGAGGUCGGGUCGCUACAGGCCUGGCGAGAGGGCGUCGAGCAGAGCGCGUCGCGGUAGGACGGGGCAUCAGAUCCGGCGGAGGAGGGACUCGACUCCAUCCAUCGCAGCUCACGGCUACGGCCGACGGUCGGGGGGCAACGGGGUGGCCAUGGGGAGUGGGGGGCGACGGUCCCGGAGUGGCGAUCGUCAUGAGCAGGUGGGCGCUGGGGCCGGAGUGGCCGGCGGCGCAGGAGAGCCUAACACGAGCGACAACUAUCAUUCUCAACCAACGAUCAACUAGACGUUCUCCCCAGAGUUAGCGUUCUUGUUAGACCGACGGAGAUGUUGGUUUCUUUGAGUUGGGUGUACGUGACAUCAUGGUUAAUAGAAUUGAUAAACUACUCAUAUUAGGACUUUCUUUUUCGGAAGUUCAUCUCCAAAGAACCUCCGAAAAAAUGGUUCUCAGGUUCAUGUGAGUAAGCACAAAGUGGGCUGAUUAAGCAUAUUUGACCAAGCUAUAUUCCAGGGGAUAGUCAGUCAUAACAAAUGGAAAUCGAUGAUUGUGGUCAGGGCGUUACACGUGCCCAAGCAUGGAGUGGCUUACUUAGUAAUCAAAUCAAUUUCUCAACAUGCUCCUAAGGCUCAAAUCAUGUCUAUCCUAUGUUUGUCAUCGCCAUCUUCAAGUUCAUAGAUAGAACUAAGAUAAGCUAAAACAAUAAUUAAUUAUUGCUACCUCACUGAGUGGUAGCAACGAAAAUGAAAGGUCGAAAAAUCUGUGAAAACACAUGCGACAACCAUAAAUGAUAGAAGCCUUGUUUGCUAUAGUGGUGCAUAAUAUCAAAAUUUGCCAAAUUGUCCGUUAUUUUAUUUAUUAUAGUUGCUAUUUUUGGUAUAAAACUAUUUUAAUGCUCAUUUUAUUUUAAUUCUUGUUGUAGCUAAAGAAACAAAUAGUUGGCCGGCUAGAAUGCUAAAAUUUCUACUCGUACUUCACUACUUAUAGAUUGACAAUUUACUAUGAAUGAAACUUAGCACAGCACAGCACAGCUGAAGAACCAUAAACUAAGCCUCCUUUCCAAAACAAGUCUCCUCGUUUUACUUGAAAAUCAAAACAAAAAUCACGAUACUUAUUUUGAAAUGGAGGGAGUAAUAGAAAAGCAAGCUUACAAGUGUGCGGCUCAGAUUGAUUUAGAAUUAGUAGCUUAUUUUAGAAACAAGGCAAACUUGUUUUCUCGUAGAAAAAAAGGCCAUUGCAUGAGGUCUCAAAACGUGUGGAUGAGACGAAGCGUUCCUGUUGAACCAGAAAAACGAUGCCAGAAAAGGUAAAACUGUACUACUCUAGUCCACAGAUCACUCUCCAGCCUCCAACCCCAUCCCUUUCAUUACCACAAAAAGAAAAACCCAGCCAUGCCUAAACGCCGUGAAGACGUGACGAGGCUACGCCGUGACGAUCUUUCCUGCGGCGCCCCUCCCGGGCCCACUGUCAACUACAGUAGCCGCCAACCCGCACCUACCGAAGUGCGUCGCUCGGCCCCACCCGGCAGCGCCCCGGCCGCGGCGGAGCCCCACGCGGCGCUCCACGUGUCGGGGCUCCCCGGGCGGAUCUGACGGGCCGAUGGAGCGCGCGGCUUUAGAUUUCGUCGGAUCCCGGCGGGUCGCAAGCCCCACCUGCUCCCUCCGGCCCUCCUCGCCUCCACUUGCUCCACGUCAUGGUCGCCCCGUUAUCUAUUUCCUCCCUCUCGUCCCCUCGCCUCCUUCCUUCCUUCGGCACCACCACUUCUCUCCUCUCUUCUCCCCACAGAGCCCAGGCUCAGUUUUAUCUCUCGCCUGGUCCUCGUGACACCCCGCCGCGUUGUGGAAACAUCCACGGCUACUUCCACGCGCGGGUCAAAGCUCGCGCGCCCACGCCCAUGCCGCCACCGCCCGCCCCUCGACCCACCACGGUGCGCGCCCUUCCCUCUGGCAACGCAAGCGCUCGUCUCUGUCCACCUUUUUGGGGGUUCGCUUUAGCUGAUUUUGGGGCCGGGGGCCUCGAAAUUCGGUGGAUCUCGGCCGCCCGCCGCCGGAAUCCGGCACGGGUGGACCGCCGUGAGGCGCUCUGUCAGUGAUGCCUCGUCGGGGUUGAGUCGCGGUGGGAGUUUGACGCUUGGUUUACCUGUCUGAUUCUGUUGAAAGCUCGAGUACUGCUGAUGCAGUCUAAUUUCAUCUCAUCACCAAGACUAUUUCCUCAGUCUUUUAAGCUCCUAUAAUCUCUAAAUUACGCUCAUCUUUGCUCCAGUAACUAGUACCAAUUUUGUACGGUAAAUCCGUUCUCGCGCCGAGCCUUAACAAUUUCGUACGGUGUGCGUGUCAAUUGACGACGAACUGCCCAUAAUUCGAAGCAUUUCUCAUGCUCGUGAUAGAUUCGACCUUGAUCCAUGCGUGCUCGUUGCAGAUUCCAGUCGUUGGAUGCAGCAUGCCCAUUUCUGAAGCCAGGGCAGGGCAUGCGCCGUCGUCUGUGAACCGUCUCUAGUUGCAAACGCCACGGAUCCAGCUGAUGGUGAGCGCCGGUCAAGCUGGCGCGGACGGACCUUCCACCAGUGAUAUUAGGGGAACCGGAAACGGCGCCGUAGAGAAUGGCCAUGCCCUCGAGGCAAACGAGGACAAGGAAUGGAGGGGCGGCAUCAAGGAAGAGGACUGGCCCAGCACGCACAGUGCGCCGCCGGGCUUGGACGAGCAGAAGCAGCAGCAAGACCGGGUUAUCCGGUGGGAGAAGUUCCUGCCGGUGAAGACACUAAGGGUCUUGCUGGUGGAGAACGAUGACUGUACCCGACAUGUUGUCCGUGCUCUGCUCCGUAAGUGUGGCUAUGAAGGUAAUGCCCUGCAAAUUUAAACUCUAGUUUCAAGUAAAUUAUUAAAUUGGAUUUUGAUCUUUUGUUGUUUGUAGGUCUGUUAGAGGCCAGAGUGUUCAUGUUAUUGUAUUUUGUUCUCUCUCUCUUUCAGUUUUAGAUUUCACUUCGAGUUGAUUUUGAACUGAUAGUGCGACCAUACAUCUAUCACAACAUUUAUACAGGGGGAUACUGAGGCUGGAGGUUAUCCUCCUUUUCCAAAACAAAAAAGAACAAGGGGAUACUGGACUUGCUUAUUGUGGAAAAGGGGGAACUGAAAUUGCUUGUUGUGAAAAAGAGUGCAUCGAGCAUGCUAAAAUAAGAGCAAUGAUUUUGAUGGCACAUCCUAAUUGAUCAUAGCUAAAGACACCAUGAUGCCGACCUGUAUUUAGAACAUGAAAUCUUCAUUCAAUUCCCCAGUCAGCAAUUAGUUGAUCUGGCUAUUAGUUUUACUUCAGUGGAAGAAGGUGCCUGAUGGUGAAUGCUCCCGUCUUGGUGCAUCAGUUGAUGGGCAUGGUCAAUCUUGAUCAAUCAGCAUAGUUUUGUUAACUGUUAACAUGAAUGAAUGCAUAAAUGGCCAGGAACUUUUGUUAGAAAGAUGCCAAGGUGAGCACCAACACCGAGAAAGAAAAAUCAAAUAGCCAACUGACAUUUGGUCUUGCUGCUAAUUGAAAUCAGUGCAACUGAAGUGAUUUGACAAGGCUUUAACUUAUCCCCACUCUCACAAGCUAACUGAACCUAGGAACUUUGCAAACUUGAGCCUAGUUAUCUUUGAGUAGUUUCUUGCACUAAAUUGGGUAAAUACAAACUCUAUUCAAGUGUCAUGGAUCUUCCUGAUGUAAAUUGCACGUUUGAUGUUUUUGUUAAUUCGGUCGGUACAUUAUGUUAUUUCCUAUUAGAAUUAUGCCUUUCCUUUUAUAUUCAAAGGUGAAAGCUAAAUCAAUAUUGCUUUUCUUUGAAACUGUUUCAAUUACGUCAAUCCAUUGACUGCAAAAUGCAUAUCUUUCCUUUGUAGUUAUCUCUGCUGAGAAUGGAUUGCAUGCAUGGCAAUAUCUUGAAGAUGUGCAAAACCGUAUUGACCUGGUAUUAACCGAGGUCGCCAUGCCUUGUCUAUCUGGCAUUGGUCUGCUCAGUAAGAUCACGAGUCACAGUAUUUGCAAGGGCAUUCCUGUGAUCAGUAAGCAGCUUUCCUGCUCAACCAUAUUGCUCCAACAGAUUAAUACACUUAUUUUGGUCCUUGCUAAUUUGUUAGUUUAAAUAUUCUUAGCUUCUAAAGCUUAUGUUGUUUCUGUGCAGUGAUGUCUAAGAAUGACUCGAUGAGUACAGUCUUUAGGUGUCUAUCAAAGGGAGCAGUUGACUUCUUAGUGAAGCCGAUACGGAAGAAUGAACUUAAGACCCUUUGGCAGCACAUAUGGAGGCGAUGCCACAGUGUAAGUUGCUUGUUGUUGGUCUAGCUUAUUUCAUGUCGGAAAACCAAGCCCAAAAGUCACGAGGGCAUAGUUUCUUUGACCUACCUAUUUAUCUUCUCUGAUUAUCACUCUGGAAUUUGCCUUUUUCUGAAUCUAGUCCAGUGGAAGUGAAAGUGGCAUCCAUACACAAAAAUGUUCCAAACCGAAGGCUGGUGAUGAAUAUGAGAACAACAGUCAUGAUGACGAUGACGAUUGCGGCAGUCAUGAUGACGAUGACGAUGACGAUGAUGAUGCCGAUGACGACUUUAGUGUUGGGCCCAAUGCUAGGGAUGGCAGUGAUAAUGGCAGUGGCACUCAGGUACGUCGGUUACUUAAAAUUGGAAGGUACUUCUUACUCAUCAGAAGAUUGCGAUAGAUGUAAUAUAAAGGGUAUUAGUUGAAUACUACUCGGAACAAAUGUUUGACUCUUCCAAAAUUAAUAGGAUUAAUACCUCUGCUGUUGAAAAGCUAUGUGUUAAGUACAAUUUUUUCGUGCACAUACUUUGUACUUCCUAGUAAUUCACUAAUUCACCCCAGAUCAGAUCCUAGAGCGAUUCACCGUGGGCAUUUUAGACCUUUUAACGUCUCACCCUGAGUCCACCCUUAGAACUGAGUAACAAAAUGAUAGCGUUUGUGCCAAUGUUUUUUAAGAAAUCUCUUUUGAAAAUCUAUUCUCAUGCCGCCGAUCUAUAUUAAAAUGCAGAGUUCAUGGACGAAGCGUGCUGUGGAGAUUGAUAGCCCACAACUUUUGUCUUCUGAUCAUCUAGCAGAAUCACCUGAUAGUACUUGUGCGCAAGUAAUUCACCCCAGAUCAGAGAUAGGCAGCAAUAGGUGGUUGCCGACUGCAAAUAAAAGGAACAUCAAUAAUCAAAAAGAAAAUAAUGGUAUCUUAUGCUAACAGUAUCCUUUGUACAAAGCAAAUACACCUUUUUCUUUUACUGUCUGUCAACCAACUGCCACUUCUAUGCAGAUGACUCCAUGGGGAAAUACUUAGAAAUAGGCGCUCCUAGAAAUUCAAGUCUUGGGUAUCAAUCUUCUCCAAAUGAGAUGUCUGUUAAUCCAACAGAAAAACAGCAUGAGAAUCUCACAUCCCAAAACAAGUCAGUAAACAAAAUAGUCAUCGACAAACCAACUUGUCAAACUGCUGAUUUGAUUAGUUCAAUAGCCAGAAACACAGAAUCGAAACAGGCUGCUAGAAUCACUGAUGCACCUGACUGCUCCUCCAAGAUGCCAAACGGGAAUGAAAUGAAAAACGAUUCUCCCAUCAACAUGCCAUCCCAAGAGCUGGGUCUGAAGAUAUCGGAAACAACUAGAUGUGAAACUGAAAUCCAUGAUGAACGAAGUAUUCCGAAAAGAUCAAAUCUGUCAGCAUUCACCAGGUGCAAAGCAUAACAUCACUAUAGUUACUAAGUUAUGAACACAGCAAUAAGUUGCGUACUAACUGUCCUUUAUUUUGCAAGGUACCAUACUCCCAUGGCUUCCGAUCAAGGUGGGGCAACAUUUCGGGGAAGCUGUUCACCUCAAGAUAACAGCUCAGAGGCUGUGAAAACGAACUCCACCUGCAAGAUGGAGUCAAAUUCAGAUGCUGCUCAAAUAAAGCAGGGCUCAAAUGGCAGUAGCAACAACAAUGACAUGGGCUCCAGUACAAAGAGUGCCAUCGCAAAGCCUUGUACAGACAGGGAGAGAGUUAUGUUACCAUCACUUGUUAAAUCGAACCAGCAGACUUCAGCAUUCCAUCCGGUGCAGCACCAAGUGUCACCAGCUCAUGUGGCACGCAAGGACAAAGCUGCUGAAGAAAUUGCCAAUGCAGUGAAAGUGGGCCACUCAAGCGAGGCACAGCAAAGCUCUGUGCAGCAUCACCAUCAUGCACACUAUUACCGCCAUGUUAUGGCACAGCAACAGACAUUAAUUGACGGUGCAUCAAACGCUCGGUGUGGCUCAUCCAAUGCUUCCGAUUCACCCAUGGAAGGUCAUGCUGCUAACUAUGGUGUGAAUGUGAGCGUCUCAGGCAGCAAUAAUGGAAGCAAUACGCAGAAUGGAAGUAGCUCCGCUCCCAAUAUUGCAAGGCCAAACAUGGAGAGUGGUACCAUGGACAAAAUUGAGGCUGACGGUGGCAAUGGCAGCGGGAGCAGGCCGAGCGGUAGUGGCAAUGACAUGGUUUGUCAGAAUCAGCUCAGCCAACGAGAAGCUGCAGUGAACAAAUUCAGGCAGAAGCGGAAAGAGAGGAACUUCGGGAAAAAGGUAAAUCUAUUUUCAGCUACAUGCUUUCUAAAGCAGGGACUUCCAAAAUUAGGCCCCUUUCAGUUUGAUUUAGUAUAGUAUGAAUGACCAGGAAUGUUUUCCUAGUAGUUGGACGCAAGUCAUGAUGAUGAUGAAUAUUAACUUCUUACUUCUGAAAGAGAGAAACGCUUAAUUUCGUCAAAACAAAACAAAAAGAGAAAGAGCGAGAGAGAAACAUGAGCUUUUAUGUUGCUUCCAAAAAUGUAAUGGCAGGCCACUAAACGGAAUAGCAUAGCAGCAUAGGCGUAGAAAAUGUAAUUGAUAGUGCCUUGGGGAGUGUGAUUUUAUCUGCUGAAGCAUUUGACGUCUCUGAUGGUCUGUAUUGACGGCCUCGUCGGCUUGGCUAUUUUCAGGUGCGGUACCAAAGCAGGAAGAGACUGGCCGAGCAGCGGCCACGUGUCCGUGGGCAAUUCGUUCGACAGUCUGGACAAGAUGAGGCAGGCCAAGCAGAAGACGGAUGACACGACCCUCCCUUCUGGUCCACUGUAGCGUCUGUUACUACAUACGUACAUAGGUUAUUGACUCUCACAUUAGAGUGCUCAACAAAUAAAGACCCACCCGUAUGAUUAUUGUCCCUGGCCGGCCGACUCCAGAUGAACUUUUGUAAUAUCUAAUCUAUGUGGCCAUCCGUCGUAGUAAGUACCAUGCAUGUUACCCCUCGUUGUGGUUUGCGAUCUUCAGUUCUCUUGGAGAGAUAGAUAUGCUUAGUCUUACUCAAGAAGAGUCUUAAGAAGGAGCAAGCCAGUAGCCAAGUUGUCACUCAUAUCUGUAUAUAUCUAUCUAUAUACAUAAUGCAUGUUAAAUUAUUCAACCUUGACCAAGCUGUCACUCGUAUCUAUCUAUAUCUAUCUAUAUACAUAAUGCAUGUUAAAUCAUUCCACCUUGACCAAGCUGAUAUAACUGACAAGGUGGUGUUCUAAAGUCAAAAGGUUGCACUUCACUUCUACUCCCUCUGUAGAGAAAUAUAAGCUUGUUUAGAUCACUAAUAUAAUGAUCUAAACAAUCAUAUACUAUUUCUUUACAGAGGGGGUAAUAUAAGACCUUUUAGAUCACUACUUUACAGAGGGAGUAAUUAUGUUUUGGCAUUGCAGUUCCCCUAGCGUCUGCUCGAAUACUCCAUAUCACAGGCUUACAAUGUUGUGUACAUCCCCUUUUCCAAUGAAUAAAGGCAACACAAACUUCCCAAAAAAAGGCAAAAAGAGAUGCAACCAUGCAGGUCCUGAACCGGGCAAUGCUGCUUUCCUUUCCAUGAUAUUCCUUAAAACAGGGCAACUUCAACAUAACGAGAGACGCAUCAACUGGCAUCACUGAAGCGAUAUCUGCUGUGCAGCUUUACUGUGGCCAAAGUUCUAAUGUCUGCUCCCUGGGUAGAAGAAGUCUGCGCCGUUUUCCUUCACCUUAAAAUGGAAGCUCCAAACUUUCCGCCCUUUCGCCGGCCUUUGCUCGAUGAGCAUUCCUUUGUUUACCACUGACAGCUGUUGACAAAAGAAUGAAACGCUUGUCAACUCUAAAUAAAAUGGACGGUGCCAAGUGCCACCAUUCACAAUAAGACCAACGUUUGCCGGAGUAAUUCACAGCUAUCUAUAGUGGCUCAAAAAAUCAAGCCAAGAACCUAAAGUAUGCAGAGUGGUGAUCAAGAAGGAACCUGACCUGUCCAUGAACAUCAGUGGCUAAACCAGUGCUCAGAGGUGCUGCUUUAAUCACAAGAUCCGCAAUAUAGCGCAGAUGUGCGAGAAGUCCCACACCAUCCUCGCUUGAAUAAAUAUCCUCAUGAAUAAGAACCACAAGCGAGCAAUUCUGCCAAGACACAAACAAGGUGUAAAAAAUGUGAAUAUGCUGUGAAGAAAGAGUACUGGCAGUGAUUGGCAGAUUCAGUUUUACCAUCUCAGACGUAAGUGUCACACAAUAAUGCAAGAAGUCCAAGACAUCAUCUGCAGAACCAUUGGCAGCAACUUCCAAGAGUGAAACAUCAUCUAUCAUAACCGUGAACCGACCUGCAUUUUCUCCAGCCCUGCAUGUCUCCACCACUCUCUGAACAGCACUAUACAGCUGAGCUAAGCUAUCAGCAAUGGCACCUCCCCGUGUUCCACCUGAGUAAACAAGCAUGCAAAUCAGUGACUUGUUAACAAUGAUGCAGCAUUUGGAGAAACAAGGUACUCAAAGAUUGUUUGCUUGCUUGCCUGGGAACCCCUGCAAGUCAAAGAAAUGAAGUCUCUCACUCUUCCUAUGCAUGGAUAAGUUACAGCCCUGGAAAAUUUCAGAAGAAGAAAUCAUGAGCCGUCCAACAUUUAGAGUAGGCCACAGUACUGGUAGAAAUCGAAAAAUAUACGCUCUCUGAAUGGUCAGUCCAGCCUCCAGUGCAGCAAUCAAAGUUAGAUUUAACUUGUGCAAACUUGCUAGACCUUCUGGUUCUGGAUGAGCUGGUUGUUGAAAUACUGAAAUUUCACAUACAUUGAGCUAUUGCUGCCAGUUCAUUCGGUACUGGCUUCCUGGCAACACAAGUAUACAGUUCUGACAUGAAGCAUUAUGCAUAAACCCAAUGAUUCACUGUUAUGAUGGAUGAUGUUGGGCAACGGAGUCGGAUUUACGACAGCGACUUCCAGCAGUGAAACAUCAUCAGUCAUAACCGUGAAGUCCCCCCAGUCCAACCUAUUUAAACUUUCAAAGUGCGAGUGUUUGGUAUGGGAUUCGGUCCCAUAUUCAGAUUAGAGCAAACUUAUUUAUACUAUUCCGUAGAUUCUAUACCCAGAUCACCUUGUCAAAUUUUGUGAUGGACUGUCACCCAUUUAUUUACAGAUGAUGAAUCGAAGCAAGCAUGAGCACGAUUACAUAAUUUCUCUACUAAGAACAUACUACAAGUCUGCAGUACUCACUAAGUAAGUAACAAGUGUGUGUGAGACAGAGAGCGUGGUUAGGUUAUGGUAAGGCUGGGAGCAAGCACGGGACGCUUACCAUCUUGCGGAGGACGCGGUCGUAGUGCGAAAAGGGCUGCGCGAGGGCGAGGAGCGCCGCGCCACCGCCACCGCCACCGCCCGCAGCGAGCGCGCGCUUGAGGAGGAGGUGGAGGACGAAGGCGGCGGGCGCCUCCACGCAGUCCUCCACCACCACCACCCGCGCGCCGGCGCACAUGGCCUCGCUGAGGAGGUCCCCCGCGCCGUACUCCUCCAUCUCCGCCUCAAGCUGCGGCGGCGGCGGCAGCCAAGGAAGGAAAAGGAGGUGCCUGAGCGAAUUUCACAGAGAGCAAAGAAAAAACAAAGUCCAGAGGAAGGCGCACUUGGAGGAAGUACGUAACGUAGGUCCGAAGGCGCAUCGACCGUAGCGGAGAGUGCGCGUGCGUGUCCACGGAAGCAAAACGGUCACGCGGGGCGGGCGUGGCGUGGCGGAGGCAGCAGACGGCACCUGAGGACAGUGGAGCAGUUCCGUCCUUCCUCGGAGUCGUGGACAAAAGGGUGGACGGAGUCGUCUCGUGUCGACUCGUCCGUUUCUCCCCACAUUCUUCCUGCGCUUGUCGUCCGUUCCAACCUCCGGCUCCCAAACCCUGCGCACUUCCCUCCCUCCCUCCCCACUGCAUUCCGCGCCUCGGGACGCCAUGGGGUGCUGCACCUCGUCGCAGAAGAAGGGCGCCGCGGCGGGGGACAGGAGGAAGGAGCCCGCCGAGAAGCCGUCCCAGAUCGCGCCGGCCGCCUCGCCAUCGCCCACGCCCUUGCCCUCAGCUGGUACGUGCGCGCGGCUUCUCCUUCUUCCUCCUCUUCCUUGCGGUGCGGGAAUUCUUCUCCUUCUUCUUCUUCCCCAACGCCGGUGCGCCGCCGGUUCUUGGCCGUGUGCGGCGGCCUGCUAGUUUGGCCCCGCCGCUCGAGGUAGUCUCUUGGUAUCGUGCGGUUGAUCGGAUUCUCGGUUCGUUUCUGACGUCGGUGGUCUAUGAGCGAGGGUUCUUGCGCGGCUGAUCCCGUGGUUUCUUGGCGCUACUUCACUUGAUGUUUGGUUCGUGAAAUGUGUACGGAAUAGUACCAUGGCAUGGGCGGCCGUGCCCGUCUUCGCUCCCACAAUUUGCGAUGCCGCAAUGCUUUCUCGUGAUUUUUGCGCAAUCGUUCGAGUCGUUGCAUUCUUGGGAAUUAGGAUUUCUUGCAAGUCCAUUUCUUCGCGAUUAAGUAAUCGAUUCCGCCAAGAAAGUGUGAUUCUCGGCCCUGAAACCGCACAAGAUUCACGCGUUCCUCUCUUUCUGCUUUGCAUGUGCACAUCUUUGGAUAUACUACCAAGAAAUUGCCGCAUCUUUGGAUACUUCAAUUCACUUUUUUACCAAUCGGCUACUCCCUCUGUUUCAACUUUCAAGUUUGCAGGGCAAUGGAGAGGUCUUGUUCGCUAAUGUACCAUGACAUUUUUCUUAUUCUUGUAGUAGUACAUGUACAUCGAAUAUAGUUAAUUUUAAUAAAUCAGGAUAAUAAUUAGGGGCAUUCUACUAGUCAUUUAGUAUCUCAUUGGUCUGUGUGCAGGACAAGAUAUACUGGCGCUAUACACUAUAUUUCCAACCAUUGAGUAAUUAAUUUCGCCAUGAACUUGUGGUCCUAGGGCUUCUUCUUCUUCUUCUUUCUAUAGAACACACGUCAGAGCACAGUCUUGAGGUCUUCUUCUAUAUUUAGAAGAAGAUAACCAAAGUGGCCCAAAACCUACACAACCACCGUGGCAGUGGCGGCGUGGCGCCGACCAAAACAGUGCAAAUGUCCAAAUAAUCUUCUAGAACAGAAAGUGCUGUUCUGGGCCUUGAAACUGCACAUUAUCUUACCAGCUAGUGAGUAAAUGUUCUUUGAUUCUGGAAAUUUUUAUUUAGGAAGUAAAUUAAUGUUAUUACCCGAUCGCGAUGCUAUGUGUGAUGUAUACUUAAUACAUGUUCCCGCUCAAAUUUGAGUCCCUUUUUCUUGCUAUGGUUGGAUUAGUGUGUUGGCAAAGCCCGGAUUUCAGUGAUAUAGAUGAAAACUUAAGUGAGACACCAAAAUAAAAUUUUGAAUAUGCGCAGUACGAUAUGUCAAAUGAAACAGGUUACAUGUUGUUUAUAGCUGCCCCUGUUUAUUGUGCUUAUUAAUGAGGUACAACUGUAUACAUCUAUGUGUUCCUGGUGUAUUACUAGGUGUACAUGUCUGUCUAAAUUUAUUGAUUUACUGUGUCCAAUUACUGGGUUUUAAAAAAAAAAUUGGGAGUCUACCUAUAGAAUUACUAUGUCCAAUUACUGGGUAACCCCAUGCAUCUAUACUUUACUCAAAAAUAAAUAAUUAGAUUACAUGAUUGCUUCAACAUGGAUAUUGUUGAGUAAAGAAUUGUGUUAUUUCUGUCAUUUUGACUUUUCUGUUUACAAUAAACCUUUUUGUUCUUGCAUACUAAUUGGAAUUGUUCGGUUCCUUUUUGCUGAUUCAUAAUUUUCCACAUAAACGGGUGUUGUUCUGGAUAAUGAAAGUGUUUAGGCUUUUUCAUGUGAUAGCUGACAACUACAUUGGUGGUGCAUCUAUUUUGUUUCUGCAGAGAUUUCUAGAUUAGAGGCCAGUCAGGGGGCCGUGCGCACUAAGUUUAUCUCAAGCCCUGGUCCGCAUACCAAUCGCCUAUCAUUCACCUACGAGGAGCUGAAUGCGGCGACAUUGGGCUUCCCACGAGAUCACUUUCUGGGAGAGGGUGGGUUCGGAAAGGUUUAUAAAGGUGUGCUGGACGGCAACGAGGUGAGUUCAUGUGUUACGUUUUAUGGGUAGUCAAUAAUUGGAAUUGCAGUCAUGUUCGAUGAUGUAUUAAACACGGAAGAUAUUUUCUUGCUAAAUUGUUAGUCACAUGAACGACAAUGUGAUGGGAAGUUAAACCGAUGUGAGUUCAAGAAUGGAUCAUGGUAGCAUUUUGUUUCGUAUUUUUUAAUGUGGUCGACGAUCUAUGCUAUGGUUUACUGAGGUUGUUUUGUUAUGAAAAGUGAGGCUUGUGAGGAUAUGGUGUACUAUAUGAUCCGCUUGUAUGUUGCUGCAACAGGUUGCUAUAAAGAUUCUCAACCCCAAUGGAUUGCAAGGGAACAGAGAGUUCUGCACAGAAGUUAUGGUGUUGAGCAGGAUGCAUCACCCGAAUCUUGUCAAGCUUGUUGGCUUCUGCGCUGAUGAUGAUCAGAGGCUUUUAGUCUAUGAAUACAUGCCUUUGGGUUCAUUGGAAACUCAUAUUUUUGGUAUGUUACUAAACUACCAUAUAUUGUUUAAAGAAUAAUCAGAACCUUGUUUAACCGGAAUUCGGUUUUGUUUUUUAUCCUCCUAGAUCUCCCCCCUGAUAAGAAGCCUAUUGACUGGAAUACAAGGAUAAAGAUACUUGUUGGCGCAGCUCAAGGCCUGAAGCAUUUGCAUGUGAACUGUAACCCUCCUAUCAUAAACCGUGACGUGAAGUGUGCGAAUAUUUUGCUUGGUGAGGAAUAUCAUCCAAAGCUGGCCGACUUUGGCUUGGCAAAGCUAGGUCCGACUGGCGACGAUACUCAUGUUUCAACUAGAGUGAUGGGUACACCUGGGUAUUGUGCACCGGAGUAUCUUGAGAGCGGUCAGUUGACCAUCAAGUCGGAUGUUUACAGCUUUGGUGUUGUCAUAUUGGAGGUAAUCACAGGAAGAAAGGCUUUAGAUCAGAGUCGAAUCAAAGCUGAGCGUAGUCUUGCUGAAUGGGUAAGCAUCACUUUCUGCAUUUUCUUUUUCUUUUAUAGAACUACUCCUUGCUUCUCCCCAAUGCUAUAAUGUCUAUACCAAGGACAACAUUGUGUUUACCUGAGAUAUCUUUGGUGAGUUCUGAUUUAUAUUUGCUUCUGAAAACUGGCAGAAGCAUCAUAAGUUUAUCGGUAGUUUUUAACCAUCUGAUUAGCAUGGAUUUGUUAUUUUCUUUUAUUACAUUUGGUCUUGCCAUUGCUGAGAUAAGAUUCUUCUUGGCAUUUCUCCAUAAUUCCUCAUAUGGAAGCCACAAUAGGUUUGGCCUACACUAGACAGAAACAUAUAUAGUUUUUGUUUGGCCCUUUAAUGUACAUCUUAAGAACCCUUUGUCUAAAAAGUAAAACGAGUUUCUCUUUCUGCGAUGAAGAUUAAUUGUUGUGACUUUUGUUGGUGUAUAAUUUCAGGCCACCCCUUUGAUCAACAGGAGGGAUUUUGCAUUGUUGGCAGAUCCAGCGCUUGGCAAUCAGUACAGCAUGACAUCAUUGUACCAGGUCCUUUCCGUUGCUCGAAUGUGCCUGAAUAAAACAGCCAGCCAGAGACCUCAGAUUACAGACGUAGCUGCCGCUCUCGCUCACAUCUCAAAGUCUAGAAGAACGCGGCGACUAGCCCACCAGCAGUCAGCAGCUCAAGUUCACCAACCCGGGGAAGAUAUAUAGGAGGAACUAGUAGUAUAUCAUAGUCAUGGGGACACCGGUGCAAAGCAAUGUAGUGUUUCUGGCUUUGUUAUGAUGAUCAUGAUGAUGAUACUGUGAUCAAGAACAUGCUCUACUCCCCAUUCCGAUAUGGCCGAAUUGCUGGAGGGGGGAAGUUUUGUUUGUAGAAACUAGAUAGAUAGAGUAGAGUAGGUGCAAAUAUCCCUGUGUCCCUUGCUGAGGGCCUGAGGCUUGUCAUAUGUGGUCUUGGAGACAUAGCUUCAUAGUAGUUGAGGAUACUUGCAUGACGCUUAAUCUUCGCUUCCUUCUCUUGUUGACAUGUUGCUGCUGUACGUGUGCUCUUCAACCUGUACCUAAAAGUGUUGGUUUUGUUGAGGUUGUGCCCCACAAAUUUUGGUUCAAUCUCUUCCUUUUUUUUCCCUUUCUAACACAAAAAAUCUAGGUUGUCACUUGUGUUUUCAUAUUUCCAUGCAUAUUUUUCACUAUGUAGUGUUUACUCCUAUUUUAUCUGCCAUUUUUCAGGUGAUUAUUAUCCAACUGUUCCUGACUCUUGUGCCAGGCAGUUGCAUGUCCUGCGACUGGAUGCUAUGGGCAUGACAGGUCACAAAAUGUAGACGAACACAAAUAUAGAUGCCAUAUAGUUUACUAAAUAAUGAAUGAUCAUUCCUGGCAAUAAUCAACAGAUACUUUGUAUUUUACACUAAGCAACAUAUGCCAAUAAUAUGUUGCAAGCCAACGGUAUCGAAAGAACAAAUAAGACACUGGAACAUCAUUUCCUUUACAGUGCUUUUGCAAAACUCUUUCCACAAGAGGAACAAAACAUGCUCUUCCCCAGUAUAACCCUAUGACAUCCUCAAAAACUAACCUAACAACACAGGGGGUUUCGUGUGUAUUUUUUCUUUCUCCUAACCGUAACACUAAAUAUUGACAAUCUUAAUGAAACUAAUUGGAGAAGAAAAUUUACAUGGAUGCCUUGCAAAGAUUUGGACCUACCAACAUAACUCCAUCUGACCAUUGAACCCAAUAUGAUACAAAGUACAAUUUCAGGAAAACUUCAUGAGAAACAUAAGUUGAUUCUUCCUGCCGACAAAAAUUAGCUGGUUUCGAAGGAUUCUUCUAGCGAUUUGGCAACCCAAUCACUCAUGGAUAUCAAGAUCCUUGCUGGCACCGACGAUUUUCUACCUGAUUCCACAGGAGUUUAGCCUUCAUUCGUUUCAGUGGGAUUCGACUUUCCCUGAUAAAAGUAAUUCGAAAAUUAAUGAACCAACAGCACCUUAGUUUUUUAUCAUCUUUCUAGCUAGAAGAACCAUUGGGAUUGUCAUGAUUUCAAAAUGCUAUGUGAAUAUAUUGCUCUAACUUUUUCUUCUCCUUUUCUCCAAGGAUUGCAUAGAGAGGUUGGUCCUUCUGUAUAGAUACACAAACUAUUAUAUCCUAGGGCACUGCACAUUUUACGACAUACCUUGCUCUUCUCUAGCCAUCCAAGCCCCCUAGAAAGUAAGCCCACUUUCUUGUUAGGUGUAUCUUGAUUUGGUUCUUGAUUUAUCUUCCCAAGGUCUGCAUGCGGUGACCUACAAAAGAAUCCAGUAAAAUGAAAUGUUACCAUUUGAACAUAGACUUGCAAUAUUAAAAAUCAGUGAGAAAUAUAUAUAACAACUAGCAGUAACCACAGUAUCUGCUGACAGAGAACACGACAAUGGGAAAACAAAAGAAAUCAACUAAAGCACAAGCUAUUAAGAUACGUACAAUGAGCUGAAAAGCAAAUUAGUCUUGCUCGUUGCCCAGUGUAAAGUUCACAACUGUAUUUUGAAAAGAGCACAGCAAUAGUACUAGGUAAUACUAGGAGGGUGGAAGAUUUCAGCUAAGUAACCAAAACAUACUUUGGGGCGAACGUUUGGAUGGCUUUAACCUGCCCAGCCUGGUACUGCUUUGUAGCUUCCAACAUAGUUUCUGCCAUCACAGCUCUCUUCUCCAUUUGUGAAAGCGCUAUCAAGACUGCUUCAUACUUCUCCUGCAUAUACAAGGUAUGAAACCUCAUGCAUCUCACCUUCCCCAACAGUAUAAGUUGUACAAGUAGAAGGAAAAACAGCACUUCCAGAAAACAGCUUUUAAAAGCGGCUCCAAGAUUAACCUGGAUCAAAUGAGCAGCGUAUUUUUGUUCAGCAGCAUCUCGCUCAGCAGCUAUGCGUGCAUCUUCUGUCACUUUCUGCUCCUGCUCCAUUCUUAACAAAAUCUGCAUGGGCAAGUAAGUGUACUUUUUAAGCAAGAAGACAGAACAAAAUACUUCAAAGUUGAGAGUGUUAUGCAAUCUAAAGCCAAGGCACUAAGACAGCACCUCAAGCAUUGCCUUUUCUUGUUCUUGCUUAUCUUCGAAAGUUUCUCGGAAUUCAGAUACCUCUGCCUCCAAUUUCUCAACCUGAGAAUCUUCUCUAAGUCAAGAACAUAUAGAUCUAAAUUUAAGAAAGAAGGGAAAAGGGACCAAAGGACUUAAAGUACAUCAUUACUGUGAUAAUCUUAAAGUGACUCUUUAUUUAGAAACAAAUACAGACAUAAAGUACAAGGCGCGUGCUCUCUGAUUUUGCUGACCAUGUGGCGACUCAGGAAAUUGCAAAAUGACUGCGUCUUUGACUCUGCUAAUCCUAAUGUUGCCAUGCUGGUUGAGGAAAUCAUCGUCGAAGCCAAGCUAUAGAUGCUCACUGGAGGGAAAGAGCUGCGUCGGCUGCCACUGCACACACGGCGGCCUGACGUUUGAUCCUAAUCAUUUAGGGCAGCUGUACAGUUCUUUCCCUUUUUGGUGUGUUUUUGCCUUGUUUUGUUGUAGCUUUAGCCCUUAGCCUUUCAGUUUAUUGCUCUUCACAUUUUUCGCUGUUUUGGCUGUAAGACCCACGCCAUCUCAGUGCCUCUUCUAAUACGGAAGACAUGAAUUUUGAUGCAUGUUUAGGAAAAAAAUCCAAACAUAAAUAUGCAAGGGAUCCUUUUGUUAGAGUUAUAUUUAUGGUGGCCUUUGGCAUUUUGCAUUCUGGCCUUUGGCCUCCCUUGUACAUGUAUAUAUGAUGGCUUUUGCCCUUUGAUAAUACUAAGUUGCAUAUUUUCUAUCAUGGUAUUAGAGCUUUAGGUUCUUUUUUCGCACGCUGCAACUCGUGCUCGAUCCAAUCACGCCGUGGCGAUCAUCCUUUUCCGGCUGCGCUGCUCCAAACCUUCUCCUGCUUCUGCUUGGCCAUUGCCUCUUGCGCGUGCAGUUUUCUCUGCUGCCGCUGCUCUACUCUCUUCCCCAUCCGUGCGAGAUUGAUCUCGAACUGGAAAACGGAGCAGCUGCUAUCGGAGGUCACCAUCUUCGUCCCCGCCCGGAUUCCAUCUCUGCUGCCGGUUGCUCGCCGUUUCUCUGCUGCCGGCGGCGGGUUCCACCCCAAGUCGCUGUUCCUAGUCGAUUUUCUGCCGCCCGUUGCAGCUCAGAUUGGGACGCGCUCCCGAUUCGGCCACACUCGAUCGGGACGCCCGCCGCCGACCUGAUUCCCGUCGCCGUUCGCCGGUUCCCGUCGCCGGCCGCCUUCAGAUCGGGCGCUCAUCUGGCCGUCGCCUGCUGCCAAUCGGACCUGAUUCCCGCCGCCGGCCGCCUCCAGAUCGGGCACUCAUCAGGCCGCCGCCUGCUGCCCAUUGGGCGCUUUCCGCCCGCUUGCUCCAUCGAGGCGCUCGGCUGGGCGGCUGCGAUCGGGCUGGUUCGGCCCGCUGGCUUCCUGCCUCGUGCCUGUGCGCUACCUUUCGGCUGCUUUUGGCUGAUUUCGCUGGUCGUUUUUCAGUGUAAAAAAAAGAAAAAAAAGAGUAAAAAAAAUCUGAUAUGAUGUCUCCUUCGGGCCUGCAUCUCCGUCACUGCCCGCAGUUUUUCGACGGUGUUCCCUAUAUUGAUCCUGUCUUGCACAGGCGUCGUCGUUCAGUGCUUGGUGUUCGUCGCUGCGACGUUGUCCCCUACGGCAUAGCAUCUUCAGCAGGCUGUGCUGGUCACUAUUCAUCGAUUCUUCUCGCGGCUUCUGCCCGUGGUGAUGGUGCCUGCUCUACACCAACUGCUCUCGUGGCUUCCGUGCGCGGCAAUGACCGCUUCACGUCGUCUCCCUCGAUGGCUGCCACAUGUGGCUCUACAUCGACUCGCCACUCUCGGUCGCCUCCAUACACGGCUUUCACGGGUGGUAGCGACUGCUCAUCGUCGGCAGGUGUUUCUACCUCAACUUCUUCCGCCGUGGCCUUGUCUGCGCGUGAGAUUGCGCAGCUGCAAUGCCUUCUUGCCGCUUGGGAAUCUUCUGCAGGAUCCGUGACCGACUCUUCUGGCAAUGAGAAACCACCUUCUACCCAUUCAAGUACAUCCCCAUGGAUUCUUGAUACUGGAGCGUCUUUUCAUAUGACUUAUGAUUCUUCCACUUUGACCUCUAUUCGACCAGUCGAGUCUCCUGUUCGUGUUCUUACGGCUGAUGGCACUCCCCUUCUUGUAGCUAGUCGAGGCACUCUUAGCACUUCUUCAUUUCAUGUUCCCUCUGUAGCUCAUGUUCCUCGACUUACCAUGCAGCUCAUAUCUGGUGGACAGAUUGUAGACUCUAGUUGUAGGGUCAUUCUCGACUUUGAUCCGUGUUCUGUUCAGGAUCGUCGCACAGGCGCUCUGCUUGGUGCUGGCCCUCGACGCUCUGAUGGUCGUUGGGAGCUUGACUGCCUUCGUCUUCCCUCCGCUGCCACCGUCGCCAGUGUCAUAACCCCUGUUGCUGCAUCUACCAGCUCUUUUCAACAAUGGCAUCAUCGUCUUGGCCAUUUAUGUGGUUCUCGUCUCUCGUCUUUGGUUCAUAGCGGUGUUCUGGGGUCUGUCUUCGGUAACGUUUCAUUGGAUUGUCUAGGUUGUAGGCUUGGCAAGCAAAUUCAGCUACCCUAUCCUCACAGUGAGUCGGUGUCCGAGCGCCCUUUUGAUCUCAUUCACUCUGAUGUCUGGGGUCCGGCUCCCUUCGCUUCGAAAGGGGGUCAUCGGUACUAUAUUUUCUUUAUAGACGAUUUUUCUCGGUAAAAUUUGCUGCCAUGGUUCAUACCCAGUUCUCCACUCCUAUUCGUGCUUUUCGCGCAGAUUCAGCUGGUGAGUAUAUCUCCCAUGCGCUGCGAGGAUUCCUUGCUGAGCAGGGUACUCUUGCCCAGUUCUCUUGUCCUGGUGCUCAUGCUCAAAAUGGUGGGGCUGCGCGCAAGCAUAGUCACCUUCUUGAGACGACGCGUGCGAUGAUGAUCGCUGUCUCUCUUCCGCCUCACUUCUGGGCUGAGGCUGUUACCACUUCCACUUAUCUCAUCAAUAUUCAGCCAUCUGCUGCUCUACAGGGUGGUAUUCCUCUUGAGCGUCUUUCUGGUCGUUCUCCUGAUUAUUCGGCGCUUUGCUUAUUUGGUUGUGUUUGCUAUGUUUUGCUUGCCCCUCGCGAACGCACCAAACUGACCGCUCAGUCUGUUGAGUGUGUUUUUCUCGGAUACAGUGAUGAGCAUAAGGGCUAUCGGUGUUGGGAUCCCGUCGUCGGAUGCGUAUUUCCCGGGAUGUCACCUUUGAUGAGUCUCGUCCCUACUACCCGCGACCAUCCUCCUCGGUCUUUUCCACGGAGGAAAUCUCUUUUCUUACAUUUUCGGAUACACCCCCCUUUGUGCCCAGUAUUCCUACUCCUCGUCCCGAUGUUGCAGAUCCGACGCCGUCCUCUCCUAUGGUUUCUUCUCCUCCCUCAUCGCAUGACUCUCCACCUUCAUCACCGAUACCUUCCUCUUCUCCACCUUCAUCACCGAUACCUUCAUCAUCGAUACAUUCCCCGUCUCCACCUCCAUUGAUUCCACCUCUCCCCUCCUUUCCUUUCCAUUAUACUCGUCGUCGACGUGUUGUGGAUGAGUCUACUGAUGUGCCCUCUACUUCUAAUGUGUCGUCUUCCUCCUCUCAGCCGACUUAUGGUCUUCGUUCUCGGCCUUGUCCGCCCCCUGAUCGAUAUUCUCCUUCUCACUAUGGUCUUUCGACCGUUGUUGAGCCGACUUCUUAUCGAGAUGCUAUUGUUCAUCCUGAAUGGCAAUUUGCCAUGGCAGAGGAGAUUGCUGCCCUUGAGCGCACCGGCACGUGGGAUCUGGUUUCUCUUCCUCCCCGUGUUCGUCCCAUCACUUGUAGUGGGUCUAUAAGAUUAAGACGCGCUCUGAUGGUUCUCUUGAGCGUUAUAAAGCUCGUCUUGUGGCUCGUGGCUCUCAGCAGGAGCAUGGUCGUGAUUAUGAUGAGACCUUUGCUCCUAUGGCCCAUAUGACCACUGUUCGCACACUUCUCGCUAUGGCCUCUGUUCGCCACUGGUCCGUUUCUCAGCUUGAUGUUAAGAAUGCCUUUCUUAAUGGUGAGUUGCGUGAGGAAGUUUAUAUGCAGCCACCACCUGGGUAUUCAGUUCCUGAUGGAAUGGUUUGCCGUCUUCGUCGCUCUCUCUAUGGCCUUAAGCAAGCCCCCCGCGCUUGGUUUGAGCGUUUUGCCUCGAUGGUCACUGCUGCUGGUUUUUCACCUAGUGCUCAUGAUCCAGCGCUGUUUGUCCACCUUUCUGCUCGUGGUCGCACUCUUCUUCUUCUAUAUGUUGAUGACAUGAUCAUCACCGGCGAUGAUCUUGAGUACAUUGCCUUUGUCAAGGCCCGUCUAAGUGAGCAGUUUUCUAUGUCCGAUCUUGGUCCACUUCGUUACUUUCUUGGGAUUGAGAUUUCCUCCAUCUCUGAUGGCUUUUUUAUUUCCCAAGAAAAGUAUAUCCAGGAUCUUCUUGCCCGUGCGGCUCUUAGUGAUGAACGCACAGUCGAGACUCCUAUGGAGCUUAAUGUUCACCUUCGUGCUUCUGAUGGUGAGCCCUUGUCUGAUCCGACUCGUUAUCGUCAUCUUGUUGGGAGUCUUGUCUAUCUCGCUGUCACUCGUCCGGAUAUCUCAUAUCCUGUCCAUAUCUUGAGUCAGUUUGUUUCUUCUCCCACUUCGGUUCACUAUAGUCACCUUCUUCGUGUUCUACGAUAUCUUCGUGGCACGAUCUCUCGCCGUCUUUUCUUUCCUCGUUCCAGCUCGUUACAGCUCCAGGCCUAUUCGGAUGCUACCUGAGCUAGUGAUCCUUCGGAUCGUCGUUCACUUUCUGCUUACUGUGUCUUUCUUGGUGGUUCUCUCAUUGCCUGGAAGACGAAGAAACAGACAGCAGUUUCCCAUUCGAGUGCAGAGGCUGAAUUGCGAGCUAUGGCUCUUCUCACGGCAGAGGUGACUUGGUUACGCUGGUUACUCGAGGAUUUUGGUGUUACUUUUACUACACCAACUACACUCUUGUCAGAUAGUACAGGUGCUAUCAGUAUUGCGCGGGACCCAGUGAAGCAUGAGCUCACCAAGCAUAUUGGUGUUGAUGCUUUCUUUGUGCGCGCUGGUGUGCAGGACCAUGUUAUUGCUCUUCAGUAUGUGCCUUCCGAGUUACAGCUAGCGGACUUCUUCACGAAGGCCCAGACUAGAGCGCAACAUGGAUUUUAUCUCUCCAAACUCAGUGUUGUGGAUCCACCAUGAGUUUGAGGGGGGGUGUUAGAGUUAUAUUUAUGGUGGCCUUUGGCCUUUUGCAUUCUGGCCUUUGGCCUCCCUUGUACAUGUAUAUAUGAUGGCUUUUGCCCUUUGAUAAUACUAAGUUGCAUAUUUUCUAUCACCUUUUAACCCAAAAAAGGACGGGGAGUUUGUACUGCCAUAAAUUUGUGCUGUCCUAUGGAAAGAAGUUAGUCUAGAUAACAUCAUUACCAUAGCACUCAGCGUACGUCUAUUGUCCUGCGUGACCAUCUCCAUUAAAGCAGUUUCUAACUCCUCGGCCCUGUGAUUAUCAAGAAAUAUAAGCCAAGCUUUAUGGACAUGUGUUGACAGGCCAAGUAAGCAAAAUGUUACAGUGCAAAAUUAAGCCAUAUGGCCCAACUUACAAUGACAAACAAGAUGAGAAUAUACAUGAAUUUAAAGAUUAAUACCAAUUCCAGAUGCAGAUUUAGAUAAGACUUUUAUAGUGAAACCGAUGAACAGGUUUCAAGAAAUUUGGUCACACAAAGUAAAUAUCUUCCGACUUAUCAUGAAGACGUGAAGGAGAUAGGGAGCACAGUGUCCCUUUGAAUAAUACCUUUUCCCCUGAAUACUGUAGCUAAACUCAGAUGUAUGAACAGAGCCAGUAGACAACUUUGUUAUUCAAACCAAAAAGUUUUUGUUUUGUUUGCUAUUUUAAAUAUAUGUUGAAUACCAAAAGGUACUUUUGUUUUAACUAUCACUCAGAACGUUGAAGGACAUGCAUUUUUCCUUAUAUUUAACUGAAGAACUUAUACCAGCAUCGUAGCAUAACAGGAAAAUGAAAUUUAUACCGAUGCUGCCUUAAAGUGAGCACAUAUUACAAGUCUUAAGGGAACAAAUGAAAUCAGAACCAGAACAGAAGUAACAUGAACCUGAGUUCAGCUGAUCUUUUCUCCUCAAGCAGUUUGCACAGCUCAACCUUUAGCCAUUUUACCUGUGUGAAAGCAAUGCAACGUGUUCAAAAUUCCAGAUUGGCAAAAGAAAUCAGAUUACUAAGCUCAGCGAAAACUAAAUUAUACAGAAAAAGAACCAUCAAGCGUGACCAAAAAUCAGUUUGGUUUCAUGCCUGGGAGGUCGACCAUGGAAGCCACUUUCUUGGUACGACAACUUAUGGAGAGAUACAGGGAGCAAAAGAUAGACUUGCAUAUGGUGUCCAUUGACCUGGAGAAGGUUUACGAUAAGAUACCACAGAAUGUCAUGUGGUGGGCCUUGGACAAACACAAAGUCCCAACAAAGUACAUUACCCUCAGCAAGGACAUGUAUGAUAAUGUUGUGACAAAUGUUCGAACAAGUGAUGGCGACACUGAUUACUUCCCGAUUAAAAUAUGACCGCACCAAGGGUCAGCUUUGAGCCCUUAUCUUUUUGCUUUGGUGAUGGAUGAGGUCACAAGGGAUAUAAGGAGAUAUUGCUCUUUGCAGAUGAUGUGGUGCUAGUCGAUGAUAGUCGGACGGGGGCUAACAGGAAGCUAGAGCUAUGGAGACAAACCUUGAAAUCAAAGGGUUUUAGGCUUAAUAGAACUAAAGCUGAGUACAUGAGGUGCGGUUUCAGUACUACUAAGCAUGAGGAGGAGGUUAGCCUUGAUGGGCAGGUGGUACCUCAGAAGGAUACCUUUCGAUAUUUGGGGUCAAUGCUGCAGAAGGAUGGUGAUAUCGAUGAAGAUGUGAGCCAUCGAAUCAAAACCGGAUGGAUGAAGUGGUGCGAAGCUUUUGGCGUUCAAUGUGACAAGAGAGUGCUACAAAAGCUAAAAGGCAGGUUCUAUAGGCCGGCGAUUCGACCCGCAAUGUUGUAUGACACUGAGUGUUAGCCAACUAAAAGACGAUAUGUUCAACAGUUAGGUGUAACGGAGAUGCGCAUGUUGAGAUGGAUGUGUGUCCACACAAGAAAGGAUCAGGUCUGGAAUGAUGAUAUACGGGAUAGAGUUGGGGUAGCACCGAUUGAAGAGCAACUUGUCCAACAUCGUCUGAGAUUGUUUGGGCAUAUUCAGCGCAGACUCCAGAAGCUCCAGUGCAUAGCGGACGGCUAAAGCGUGCUGAUAAUGUCAAGAGAGGUCGGGGUAGACCAAACUUGACAUGGGAGGAGUCCGUAAAGAGAGAUCUGAAGGACUGUAAUAUCACCAAAGAACUAGCCAUGGACAGGGGUGCGUGGAAGUUAGCUAUCCACGUGCCAGAACCAUAAGUUGGUUUCUAGAUCUUAUGGGUUUCAGCUCUAACCUACCUACCCCAACUUGUUUGGGACUAAAGGCUUUGUUGUUGUUGUUGUUGUUGUUGUAAAAAGAACCAUUAAACUAUACAAAAAGAUCAUCACAGAGAACUGUUACGAAUAACCAAGUUUUAACCAUCAAAGUAACAAAUAAACUUGGAUGCAUAUUAUACACGCAUCUUUGUUACAUUCUUUUAGGGAAACAACCAUCUCAUACAGGAAAAAAUGGAAAUCAGUAGAAGAGGAUCUUUUUUACCUGAUCUUGAAGAUCAAUGCCCUCAUCCAACUCAUUUUCUAAUGCUGAACCAGUAAGGUAGCUCCCCAGGGUUGUUGACCCAGAGUCCCCAUUCACUUGCAAACCAUCUGCCCCUUCCUUGGAAUCAACUUGUGGACACACAGAUGAGGGGUCAUGUUUAAAGCUAUAUAAUUUAGUUGCUAACCCCUUCUUAUCUUUCCAGGAUUUACGGUCUUUUGAUCUUUCCUCCAUAGCCGCUAUAAUCUCAGGCCUGUGCUUUUCUCUUAGCUCUCGCAAUCCCAUUUCUUUGACUGACUGAAAACCCAUACAAGCUGUCAAUACAAGUUGGCUGCUGUCAAAGGUAGAGCCAGCAAGAGACUGCAGUAACGUAAUUGCAUCUCCAGCAUCCUUUGUGGUCACCAAGGCAGGCCCUAAAAGUUAACAUAAAAGAUAUAGUGUUGGGCAGACAUCAAAGUUUAGUCAAAUGAACAAAAAAUAGGACAUAGUAACAUUUUCAGAUUAAUCCAAAAACAGAUAACUAGUACCAUAUAAGUCCAGCAAAGCAAGGGUUGUCCGGAACAACAUUGUACGAUUUCCUUCAAAGAGGAUCACAUCCCAAACACGAAGAACUAAAAGACAGGAAAAGUUCCAAUCAGGUAUAGUUAAAUCAUUAAUCUGUCCGAACAUAUAUACAAAUAUAAGGAUUAUGUAACACAUAAAAAACUAGUGUGGGUUUUUUCAAUAUCCUAACAAAUUUUCCUGAGAUGCUAAGUAUUUAAGGGGCUCUAAAUAAUCAAAUAUUACAGCAGCAAUCUAGAGAAAAAUGUUUGUAAUUGUAUAUUGUCAUAUCUUCAUGAAAGCACAAAGAUAUUGUAUAAAACCUGACCACUUUCCCAUGGAAGCAUGUUGAUGAAAAUUGAAAGAAACCAUGGUCCAGUCACCCAUGUCACCUGAACUCCCAAGAUAUCCGUAUGUUUGGCUGAAAGAGAGUUGCGACCGAUGUCAGUGCAAAGUGAUAACCACCAUCAAACGCUCUCAAGGAAAUAAAUCAUUGUGCCUUCAGACAAAUCUAAGCUAUGUCAGCUCCUGAUUUCAACUGAAUGUGAGUCAUAUCCACAUGCGUCAUUUUUUAGUAAUACUGUGAAUGUAAAAAUACAUAGGUAUCAGUAAUAUCACUGGAAUACAGACCCAAUUUUGGGAACCUUUCUCGUACAACGUCCUCAAGAACAAGUUGGUCAACCUGUGAAUGAAGCGGCAACAUUAUACAACUGUUCGUGGCAUAAAAAACAUGGAUGAAUAAAUUGUCAAAAAAUCAGAAGUACCUGUGAUUCAAUCAUUUCCUCAGUGUAGUAACCCUCAAAGUACUCGUCAAUGACCCCCACCAGAGCCCUAAAAUACAAAAAAGGCAAAGAAAUUGUAGAACUGGAGAUAGCUUACGAUCUUGAACCAUAAAAUUAUCAUUCAUCAGAUGUAGCUUUCAAGAGAAAAGGCACAGUCCUACCAGAAUGCAUUCUCUUCAGGCAUGAACAAUAAAAAUAGCCCGGCAAAAAAGUUCAUGGCCUACAAGAAAAAACAAAGAUGUAAGAUAAAAUACUACCAUCAUUAUGUCAACUUAAAAGUACAAAGCAGAUUUUAGGAGGGUCUGUCUAGGACAUAUCUAGAUGUACAUAGUUAUGUCACAUCUAAGCUGAUGUACACUCUGUCUGUGGUCUAUUUUUUCUUUUUAGUUUUUUUCUGUUUCUUGUUGUUGCAUUAUAUAUUUGUGGGAGCUUAGAUGUGACAUCCUUAAAUAACAUCUAGAUGUGAAUUAGACAAACUGAUUUUAGGAAAAUAGGCUCAUACAAACCCCUUCACAGGUCAGCACACUAUGCAAAAAAAAAAAUCAUAACACUAAUUUAGGCACAUGUAGAAAAAUCAUGACAAAGUAAUGAUUUGCAUACUGUACAAAUAAAGCAAGAGAUAACAAGAAGUUAUAUAACAAAGCAAUGUUCAUAUCUUUUGUUUCCUUGCACUACACACAUGAUAUUAUUUUUCUACACUACCAUGAUUGUUUUUUAGAUUUUUUAAGAUGUCUAGGCGUACAAACUCAUGGAUGGUUACAAAAAAUAAGGUCAAAAUCCAAAAAUCUUCAAUGAGCAAAUUACC
rnacentral:lncRNA from 1 species